rnacentral:lncRNA from 1 species
AAUAAUGAUGAUGAUGAUUAUGAUGAUGAUUAUGAGAUAUGGAAACAAUUCAAUUUAACUAAGCAUAACACAGAAGGUGGUCAUGGUCAUGAUAACAAUAACACUAUGUUGAACUUUCAGCAAGAUGAUGAUAUUAUGGCGGCUGUGGAAGCAUUUAGAGCAAGCGGUGGUUUUGAUAAUAAUAUUAACACCCCUCCUAUUUCAACAAAUGUUCUUCAAGUUCUUGAGGGUGGUGAUCAUCAGGAAAAUUUGGAUGGAAGCAUGAUUUGUAACGUGAAUCUCGAGGAGAAUAAGCAUUAUUGGAAUAGCAUACUUGGUUUGGUUAAUGAAUCUGAUGAUAUGAACAGUAUCCUAUAACGAAGCUAUUGAUCAUAGGUAGAGCUAGCUAGCUAGCUAUAGUAGCUGUUUGGCUAUAGGGAGUACUUAAUUAGGAUAGUUCAAUGAGUUGAUAAUAAUGCAAUGUCGGCUUCAUUUGGACCAAAAAACACGUCUUAGUUGUUACCUUAGCUUCUUCUUUGUUGCUGUUUUAGGAAAGAAAAAAUAAUGUUGUUUAAUUACUAGUAUUAAUGAUCAAUUUGAAUUGUUUAGUGAAAAAUGUAACAUGUAUCCUAUCAUAAAUUUUACAGAUUACUUAUAUAUAGGAUGGAGUGCAUUAUCCUUACUAAUUAACAUGUUACAUAUCAAUAAUUAUAUUGACAUUUCUUGCUAAUAAACUCUAUCAGAGAGUUAUUAAAACAAGAUCAAAUUAAAGACACCUUAAACUUAAACAAAAGAUUCAUAUAUAGUCGAUUAGGUUGUCUACAUAUUUGUUAUGAUUGUGGUCAAUCAUGUUAAAGAGUCUUACCUCAGAUAAAAUAAAACAUGAACAUGUGUUUAUAAGUAGGGGUGGUAAACGCGGUUUUACCACCCGGCUGUCUAGGCUCAACCGAUAUUUUCUUUGUAUCGCUACAAGAAAUUUGACUUGUAGUGACAGCCAAUAUCCGUCACUAUAAGACAAAUUUUCGUAGCUAAAUUUGUAUGUCAUUGCCAAAUGACUGUCACCCAUGUUUUCCUCCUUUACCUACGGACAAAACGUAAGUAUUUCUAAGAAGACCAUUUUAAAAACAUUAUGGACCUCUACCUAUACGGUUGCGGCUGUCAUUAAAACAUAUCAUUUUUUUAUUUAUAUAUUUUCAAUUCUACUAUAAAUUCUAAAAAUGAAUAAUUCAUAAAAUUACCACUAAAAUUAAUUUAAUCAAUAUAAUAAAAUAUUAUAAUCAAUAUCAUUAAAAUUUGAAAUUGAUUACUAUAAUCAAUUUUUAGAAUAAAUUCUUGAAGUGACUUAACUAGAAUAAUUUUCCAUAACUAUGAACUAUUAUACCAUUCACCCAAACCAACUCAAUACUCACAAAAAUACUCAAUACUCACAUAAAUCAAAAUCUAUAUAUACUCCAUUGCUCAUUUAAUUUAGGGUAAAUACUCUUUUCGUCCCUGUAAUAUUAGCGAAUUCCGGUUUUAGUUCCUGUAAAUAAAAAAGAUUUAGAUUUUGUCCCUGUAAUUUCAUAUUCUUCCACUUUUGGUCUCUCCUUUCAUCACGUCAACAAAACCUGCAUCAAUUAUGUCCAUGUAAUUUCAGAUUCCUCCCACUUUUGGUCCAUGUAAUUUCAGAUUCCUCCACUUUUGGUCCCUCAUUUUACGUGCCAAGUAUGCAGAUUCUGUUGACGUGGUGGAAUGAGGGACAAAAAGUGGAAGAAUAUGAAAUUACAUGGACAAAAUCUAAUUAUUUUUUUUUACAGAGACUAAAACCGAAAUUCGCUAAUAUUACAAGGACGAAAAGAAGUAUUUACCCUUUAAUUUAUGGUAACAGAAUUUGAAUCACUAUUCAUAAUAGCUUAUUAGACAAAUGACAGAAUAUCAAGUUACAACUUACAAUCACUUCAUACCUAAAAAAACUUACAAUCACUUCUACAAUGGCAUAAUAAAUCAGAUUUUAACUUCUAAUUUGUGGAUCUUCAACAAUAGCGGGUGCAUGAAAGCUAUUACCAACAUUAACAAAAGUUGGAAGUCCACCAGUUAUCAAGCCCUGCCAAUAAGCUAGUAAAAUAAUCUUAUAAGCUCGUGAGAAAGAAUUGUUACCAACAAGAUCAACGAUGUGUGGUUCAAUGACUUGAUGAUAUGUUACACCGAGUGUGAGAUAUUCAAGUCACUUGAUGAUGUUGAUAUUAUUCGAACAUUCACCGCAAAGAGGUCUCGGAAAGGGCAUUUACCUCCUAAUUUUAUUUAGUACACUAUUGACAAGUUAUGUUUCAUCUCUCUUAUUUCAAAUUGUACUUUUAUCGACAAAAUGACGAGUCUCUUUUAUUUCAAUUUUUGAUUAUUUAUAUAUUAUGUCGCAUGUGAUUUACGGUCAAAUUUUGCUCGCGCUCGAUAAAAUUCCUGGCUACGCCACUGUUUAUAAGUGGAGACAAUCUUCAUCUCACAAGCUGCAGUUUUGUGGGAUUGUGAUAGGCCCAAAUACAAUUUCUAAAAUGACAUCAGAGUCUCUCCAAGAUCUAUUGACCACAUGCUAUUAGGUUUCUGCUAUCGGACCACCUACCAUUUAUGUCUACAAACCAAACCCAAUAGGGCUAGUCGUGAGGAUGUGUGUUAAAGAGUCUCACAUUGGAUACAAUAAGGCCUGGACAUGUGUUUAUAUGUGGGAGCAUCUUCACCUCAUAAGUCGAUUUUGUAAGAUUAUGUUAGGCCUAAACACAAUUUCUAAAAAAUCACUAAGAAAUCAUUUUAGAUAAUGAAAAUAUAAACCUUAGCGUUGUAUCUAUAAUUGGACUAUCAAUUCCCUUAUUUUUAAAAAAGAAAAAGUCCAUCUAUAAUGUGAAAGUACACAACAGAACCCUCUACUUUAUAAAAGAAAUAAAUAGGUGGCUUAAAAAAAAAAGCAGAAAUAAAAAGGUCACAGCCCAUGUAUAUUUAUCCUUGUAUUUGUGUGUAUAUUUAAACAUAUUCACUGUUUUUCAGAAAUGAGGUCGUACAUAGUCAUUGUAUUAAUGGUUCCGCUGAGUUUAAUUCAGUUCGUGCGGAUAUUGCAUGAUAUAUAUCGGAGUUUGAACUUCAAACAUCUUAUUUAUUAACUUAAAAAUAUGAAUUUUUAACUACUAAACUACUUGAUUAAAAAAAAAAAAUUGUAUAUUAGUUACUUUCGUACUAUAAUAAUUGUUUGUGGUUUCUUGAAUCCAAUAAUGUAAUUGUGAUAACAAUAAUGUAUGUUAAACCCAUAUACGAGAUACGAUACGGAUACGAUACUGCACCGAUACGUCGAUACGGGAAAAUUUCAAAAAUUAAGAUACGAUACGACUGGGAUACGUUAAUAAAAAAAAUUAUAAAAUUUAAUGUACAAUAUAAUUAUAACCAUUUUUUUAAUAUACAAAUAUAUUAACAAACAAAAUAAACCAGUCAUAGGCUCGUAGCACAUCAACAUAAAUAUAAAUAAUAGUGACGAUUAAGAGAGUGAUGAUUAGUCAAUUACAUACACAAUAUAUCCCAAAAAGAGCACCAUAAGUGCUAUACUAUAUCUAAAAGGAACAUUGUUAGUGCUAUACAUAUCGAUCCAAAAAAGAAGCACUAUACUCAAGAGUUAAGUUAUUUUAAUUAACAUUAAUUGGGAAGUAUUGGGGCAGAUAUUGUUACAGGAUAAUUAUCGGAUACUCUCCUGAUACGUAUCGGGAAGUAUCGGAUAAUUAUUUUUUUUAAAAAUAAAAUUUAAUCUUCGGAUACUCUUCUGAUACGUAUCGGUGCAGGAUACGCAGGGAAUACGAUACGUCAUCCAUUUUAAAGUAUCGAAGCUUCACUAAUCUUUUAACUUUAAGACUCCAUGUUUCUCACUCCUCAUAUAUAACAUGUAUCCUUAAUAUAUGUUGAAUUGCAAUGUACAUAUGUUAUCAUUGCUCUAAUGUUCUUUCCUUUUCAUAUCAGGUUGAAGAACCUAUGAUCUGGCUGGUGGUUGCAGUUGUGGAAACCGAACACUGUUGUGAUCAGAUUUGUUUUUGAAUUGCUUGCUAUAUACUUUGAUAUUACUUCUCUUACUGAAACUGAAAAUUGUUCCCUUGCAAUUUCUGUCAAUUAGUGCAGGUUUUGACGUCAAAGUGAGUAUAUAACUUCUGCAUGUGUGUUUUCUCAAACCUUGCUGCAGUUAAUUAUAUUGUAUUGUUUAGUUUCGAACACAAUUUCAGUGCAAUGUUGAUUUAAUUGGAUAUGUUAUUGAAAAACAAAGUUGUCCAAUCUUAUUUGAUGUUCAUAUCAUAGUUUAUUGUUUUUUUAUUGUAACUAUAUAGUCCCUUGACUGGAUGUAUCUCAGAAUGUUGUGAUUAAGAUUAGUUGAUUAAUUUUUAAUUCAAUUCAUAUAUAAUGAUUGUUGAAGAGUAUAUAUAUAUAUAUAUAUAUAUAUAUAUAUAUAUAUUUAUAAUUUAGGUGUCUUUUCUUAAUUCAUCCUUUUCUUGGAGAUUACCUUCUAAUAGUUAUUUGUUCCUCUUAAAGAAAUAUCAUUAAGCCUCUUGAUUUGAAGGAUUUGUUGCCGUCCAAUGAAGUUCAAAUUUUUGGCCAUGCAAGGUCAUAGAUAUCUUAUGAUUAUGAAUGCAGAAACAAAUCGCAUCGGUGAGUAUUUUUAGAAAGAAGAAAAAAAAGAUUUACAAUAGUUUUCAAAUGUAUUUAGCAGAAGAUAUUUUUGACUGAAAAUGUUUAUAUUCUAUCUAACUUUGUUCAUCAAGGUUGUAAUUUUUGACUGAUAUUAGUUGUAAUUUGGAGAAAAUAUAUAUCUUCAUUUGCAGAGUCCAAUAUCAUUGUUUUCUAUGCGGUAAGUAUUUUAUCAAUGCAAUAUCAUUGUUUUCCUUUCUAUUAUUAUUAGUGACAAAAUCACCAUUGAACAUAUCUUUCACAAUCAUUUUUAACUUGACUAGGUGCUUUAUUUCAACUUAAAGAAGUAAAUUCUAUGGGAUAUCUUAUCUUAUCUUAAUCUUAAUAUUAUAAGAACCGUUAAGUGUUGCAAGUCAACCCUAGAUAAACCUAUUCAAGCCUUUUGCAUUUUAAGCUGCAAGUUCCAUGGGUGCCCAAAACCUUAAGAGUAUGUUUGGAUGGGAGAAUGUUUUGAGGGAAUAUUGUAAUGUUACGAGGGAAUUCAAAUACUGAGGUGAAUUCCAUUGUUUGGAUAAUAAUUUGAAGAAUUUUCAAAAUGAUAGAAAUUUACGAAGUAUUUUUUUUUUAAGAAAAAUUUAUAUUUCAAAUAACACCUAAAAUAUAAGAAUUUCAAAAUUCUUCAUUAUUAUAAUCUUUCAAAUUUUGCAUUUUGGUCAUCAAUUUUUUCAAUUUGACCCCAAAAAAUUAUAAAUUGACCCCUCAAAUUUUUCAAAAAUUAUAAUUUGAUCCCUCAAAAUUUUUGAAAUUUACAAAUUGACCCCUAAUUUUAAUUUUCAAAUUUGACCCAAAAAAAUUAAAAUUUAUAAAAGUUUCCCAAAAAUGAUGCCAUUGAAAUUUUUUAUUACUCCACCCAAACAAAAGUAUUGAGAAAUGAAUGGAAUUUAAUUGAAUCAUUUAAAUUGCCUAAAAUUUUAAAUUCUUUAAAAGUUUCCAAUUACCUCGUCCAAACGCACUGUAAGGUUUUUGAAAUGUGAAAAUUACUUUGGUGCCCUUCUGUUCAUACACUAUGUCUUGCCAUUACUUGGUUACCAAGUUGCUACUUUUGCAUGGAAGAUCAGCCUAGAGAACUGAGCACACAUUUUGUCGAUAUAGGCAUCAUGAUGCUUGGUGCAUUUAGGUCCUUGCUUGGCACAAGAAUGCCAUCUUCCUUCUAGAGAACUGAGAACAUGAUGCUUGGUGCAUUUAAAUGAGUGGCAUGUAUACACAAACCAUAUAACAUCAACAUUAUCCUGACAUUACCACCAGAAAUCCCAAUGGAACGAUUAGCCAAUUUUACCAUGUUUGCCAAAGACCGUGAAGCUGCAGGUGCAUUGUUGUCCAUGAAAGGUAUGGUAAAUCAAGUUGUGCCAUAAAUCAAGUUGUCUAGCAUCUGACAUCGUUUGUGCCAUAAUGUUUUUGAUGCCACCUGAAUUUGUAUUUGAUGGGAAAGAUCAUAAAUUUGAAUGUGAAUUAAUUUGAACCAUGCAGUUAAAAUCAUCUUAUCUAAAUUUAUGCUCGAGUUUAUGUUGUUUCUAUUGUAUUUGGUUAAAUCAAUCAUCUUAUUUGGGAGCUUUUGAUCUCCUGUUGACAGUUGAAGGUAAUGCUGGUCCAGAGAUUGACAGAGUUGUUAGAAGGGAUUUGAUUAACUUGAGAAUCUUCCACAUGGAGUAUGACAUGUGCUAUGUGAGUUGUUAUACAGUCAAACUGUGUUUUUGUUUAAUGUGUUAUAUGCCAUAUUGUUUAGUUCAUUGGAACAAGAUUUCCAUUGAAACACGUUCUUGAAGGUCAAUAAAUCCCUUAUUUAUUCCAUAUCUGGUUGGAGCCUUAGUUAGUUGCUAUAAUGGAUGAUACUCCAUUUGAUGUAUAUUAUGAUAUGUUAAACUUGAAAUCAUUUAAUUACUUUGCAACUGACUCACGUACCAAAGUAUUUGCUCACUGAUGAGUGUUUGUGUAGCGUAAGGGAAGGGAAGGCUUCCUUCUUCGUUUGCAAGAGGGUUUGGUCUACAAGUUGCUUCGUUUGUGUUGUUACGUGAUCCGAACCAGAAUGAGGUUAAGGUAGCUAUUGAAAAAGAAGAACGGGAGGGUUUAUUUUACUGAUGGUUGGACAUUUUUAAAGAGCUUUAAUGGGAUUUUGGGUGGUGCUUGGAUCACAAUUAUUUUUGCAAAUCGACAUCUUUUUCUGAUGGUGGUAAGAAAUCUGCAUGGAGUUUAAUUGGUGUAUCCUUGCUUCAAUCCUCCACGGAGAAUGUUGUCGCAGAAUCAAGGUACCAAUGAGUACAGAAACUCGGUAGCUCGAUAUGGUUCUAAUGCCAUUUUUCCUCCCACUGUUUUCUAUCACACAAUUGUCAAGGAGUUAACAGCUGCGGACAUUUCUUCUGGAGUGUUGGUGAGUUUUACCUUACACUUUUCUUUUAUGCUGCGGACAUUUCUAUCCCACUGUUUUCUAACUUGAGAUGCAUUUUUUAUUACAAUCAGAAGCUAUUUGGAAAUUGGUUAUGGAUUUCUGUCAUGAUCAAGAUUUGUCUUGUGUAUUUUCUGGUGAGUGGCCACCUCUGUGUGCAACGCCCGUAAGUUGAUGGCAGGAAUAAAGAUCAAACUUGGUGUCACGGGAGCAGAUAGCAAUAAGGUUGUGUAUCUAUGUGCACCUCCAAUGUUGGUGUUGAAGACAAAAUUGCCUCCAUCUAUAGGCAUUGGUGAAAAUGGUCCGUCUUAUCGAUUUGAGCAGCUUUUCUGAAAGAAUUAGCAGUGUUGAUUAUGUGGGGUCCUUUGCUUAUAUGAAUGUUUAGUAACUAGUAGCGUUAACAAAUUAUUACGUUGAACAUAUAUAUCGUUCGGUUUAAUUUAAAACGAUUACACAAUAUUGACCAAUAAUAAUUAAAUUAUUACAUAAGUUAUAAGUGACACAAAAAAGUAGUCGACACUUGAAAGAGCAAUUAAUCCAAAGAAAAAAAUAUUUCUUGAAGAUAGAUGCAUCAUUGCUUGAUAGCUCCAAAGUUAACUACAAAAUAAAACAAAGUUUUUUGAAUUUUAUAAAUACAGCUAAGAUAAUUCAAUUUUUAUUCAAAAUUCACUAUGAGGAGGAAGGUUCUGUAAGCCUCCCGUGUUUUUUGGGCAUAUGUUUGAAAGUAUCCUAAUGAAUUGGUAAACAAAGAGUGAGUCUUAAGUCAAAUAAUAAUUUUGUUUAUGUUACAAAGAUAAAUUAAAAAAAGCAAGUAAUUAUGGUUACCCAAAUUGAUGUCAGCCUUAUUUGUUUACCCAUAAGAAUAGUUGUCUCUCUAUCAUUUUAGUAACUAUUCAAGUUACACUAUGAGGAGGAAGAUUAUCAAAGCCUCGUAUUUUUUGGGGUUAUCCCAAUAAAAUGGAUAAACAUAAAGUGUGUUUAAGUCAAAUAGUAAUUUGUCUAUGUUUACAAAGAUUAAUUGAAAUAAAAUAAAGGAAGUAAAUAAACAAAAAGCAGCUAUAGAUAUCAAGUCUUUGAGCAACUCUCCAAGAACUCAUCUUUGGGGAAUAGCUUCCCUGUGCCGCUUUCCAACCACACAACCAGUGCAAAUAACAGGGGAAUCCUUGAGCACCGGUAAUCCUCAUAUCGUAGGUAUGUAAGUAAAACAUUAUUACUAUUGUAGGAUUAAGCAUCAAAGGUAAUUGACUUCAUUGUUGAGUUACUAUUGUUAUAUAUAAGAAUAAAAAAAAUAGGCAAACCAAGUCAUUAUUAAAGCAACAUAUUGUUUAAUUCUACUCAAGUAUAUCAUAAGUAUUGUCAAGUAAAUAAACAAAAAGCUGAUAUAGAGAUAUAAUAAAAGCUCACAAAACAUAGUUUUAAAACAUUGGUUGCAUAGCUCAGUAUAUAGAAAUUACUCAAUGUACUUAACCACAUUCAAGAGUUCUAAAACUCAACCACGCAACUUCAUUGGUCAUUUGCAACUAAGUUGUUUUAACAAAAUUCGAAGAGACACACACAUUGGUACUGACCUGAAUUAAGACAUGAGAAAACCAAACAUUGGAACUGACCCACAGUAUCAUCCAAUUUCCGCUAAACCAUCAAUCCUACAAACAUAAAAAAAACCUUAUUAGCAAAGGCAAGUGAAAUAUUAAUCCAUUAUAUUGAGCACUUUAGUCCCCUAACUUAAGAUCAGUACCUCGCCAUAAAAAUAGAACCAAAAGGCACAAACACAACACUAUAUAGUAUACCUUAUGAUUCCAUGCAAAUAACUGCUCCAACAAUCAUUCACAGGAGGAACCAAAUCUAUCAAGAAAGCAAAAUAUAGCUUUGUGUAAGUAAGUAUCACUUGUUAUGAAAUUAACAAAACAUGCCUUGCAAUUCUGUUGAAUGAAGUAAAGUUUUUAGAGAAUUAUAUGACUAUAAUUAUAGAAAAAGUUAAUGAAAAAAUAGACAAUGAAAAAAAAUAAGAUUCCUAAAAUAAAUAAUUUAUCAAUGUCACGUGAUUGAGUAAAUAAAAUUGAUCCCAAACCUGCCCAAUUGUUCACAUCAUUGCUUAAGCCCAAUAUAUAAUUCUUGAUUUUACAACUUCUCAUCGUCUACCUAAAAACUCUAUAUAAGUAUAUUCAAAUCUAAAAUCAAUAAAUUUAAUUUCACGACACUUGUAAAAUAAAUUAGAGGCCAAUCCAUACAAAGAACAUAUAGAUUAUGAACAUAUAUUUCAAAGGUGACCUAAAUUCUAACGACAACAAAUUAUUUGAUAAAGAGAUAUCAAGUAAAAUAGAAUCAAACAAAAGUGACAAUUUUGUGGACUAUUUAUUUUACACAUUUAACAGGAUCUUAGAUUUUCAAAAGCAUCUAAUGACUGCAAUAAUUUGUAUUAUCCAAAUAGGCUAAUAUAUUUGUGAACUGUUUUAUACAUUUACCAAUUUGAAGGUUGAAACAAUAGUGUUGUUGGAAAAUGACGGAUAGUUGGAUGCCUUUUGGAACAACUUUGAAUUUUGAAAAGGAAAUCAAAUUAAAUUGUGUGUUUCAAAAUUCAAACCAACUUACAAAUACAGCCAAGAUGUAGUGAGUAAUUAAUGUCCCUAUUCUGAUUUCUUCUGCAGAAGGAGGAUGACAAAAGUCAUUGAAAGUGCUGGCAUUCUGACUUGUAGUGUUCUAUCCAUUGACUCCCUUGAACAUGGUUUCAAAAAGUUCUAAUUCCAAGUGAUGUCAUCUGAUUGCAACAUUAAAAUAAAAUAAAAACACAUAUUUAAUUCACUUUUCAAUAGUGAGCGUACACUAUUUUAAGUUAUAUAAAAGAUUUAUAAGACAAAAUAUAUUCAUAAUCCAAUCAUGUAGCCAUAUAUCAUUUAAAUAUUCCUAAUUUUGUCAUAGCAUAAAACUUACAACUAAUUGUUUCAACUUAGCAUAAAAUCUAUCACCAAAUAGUUGUGUUUAUGAUAUGACACAAUUAACUGAACAGGGAGGGAAAUAGUGGGAAGAAUUACUCAAACUAACAACCUUUAUUAUUUUGAAUGUUUUCUCAAAAUUCAAAAUAUUAUGGAUCUAUAAAUCCGAAAGUGAAAAUGGAUAAAUCAUUACCUCCUCCCCAGAAGUGUGUGUUGCUAUCUCAUUCUUUCAUCUAGUAACAGAACCAACAUUUAAAACUACAAAAACAAAUAAUAUUAAUUUUUAUUGAGAUUUAUGAUAAUAUAAACAUAACCAAAAUGAGUUUUCGGAUGAAAGAGAGAGAAAGGAACUGAUGAUACCUCAGCGCGGUGGUCAAUGGUGGUAUCAAAAUUGAACUUGAUAGAAUGUAUAAAUGAAUGAGUUGCUUUUGUAGAGGAUGAAGAGAUGAAGAUGAUGAUGGCUUUAUUUUAGUGGGAGGAGGCCAAAAUUGAUAGGAAAUGAUGAAAGAAGGUAGAAGAAAAAUAUUUUCAUGGAUGGAGAUUUUACUUGAGAGAGAGUGUGACGAAGAAAGAGAGGUGUUGAGUUUUUGUGUGAGAGAGAAGAUGCGUCUCUUUGGUAAGAUUCAAAAGUGAGCUUAUAGCUAUAAUCAAAGAUUCAAAAAUGAGCUUAUAGCUGUUAAUGAUUAGGUUAUAAGUUCGUUUGACAAAAAAAGUUAUGUUUGACAAUGUCUUUUCAGUUCACCACAAACUUAUAGCUUAUUUCACGACUUUAUAAACUAUUUUUUAGACAUUAUUUCAAGUAGCGUUUGAGCUUAUAGCUUCUCACUUUUUCUUCCAAUUUUACCUUUAUUAUUUCAUUUAAAUUCCAUUUUUAUCCAUUACAAUUUAUUAUAAUAAGCUACGUAAUAAAUACUAUCCCUUUAUUACAAUUUUUGUAUAUAUACCAGCUGGCCUUUUUUUUUGUUUUGAAAAAAUAUAUACCUUCGAGUUACUUUUACUCUAUUAGUGUUACUUUUUUUUUUUUUUUUUGAGGUAAGUGUUAUUUUCUUUAUAAAGUGGAAACACUUAAAUGAUAAUAAAUUUUAAGAUAAAAUUUCAGUGAAUAAAAUUUAAUUUAAUUUAUAAUACAUAUGAUAUAUUAAAUUGAUAAAUUUAAAGUAUUUUUAAAAGAAAAAUUAGUUUACAAAAUUACAAAUACUUAAAUAUUAAUUGAUAUAAUUUUUAUUAUGAAUUAAGAAUACCCUUUUGUCAUUUUACAUUUAUCAGUUAGUUGAACCGUUAUUUUUAUCAAAAACUGCAGUUAGCUUAUCAGCUAUCAGUCAUCGGUUAUAAGCUAUCAGUUAUCCGGUAUUUUUACCAAACAGAGCCGAAGUGAGGAAGAAAAGGAAAUAAGUUUGGAAUGAAUGAGAGAGAAAAAAUAUAGAAAGUGAUGUUUGUUGGGAUAAGAGAAAAAGUAGGAGGGAAAGAAGGAUUUGAAAAAUUUUGAAUUUUGAAUUGAGGAGGGAAAUUGUGUGAUAAAGAUAUUUUAUUGUUUGUAUUGUGUGAAUGCUUAAAGUGGCAACUUUAAAAUUAUUUUUUAAUGGUGAUGUGACAUCAAGUGAUUUAGAAUUUUGACAUAUUGGACUGGUGCAAAAAAAUUUCCUAUUUGUGGCUUCACAUUUGUAUAUUAUUAAGAUUAAGAUAAGAUUAAGAUGUGUUUCUAUUAAGAGUUUGAGAUGUACUCUUUUCAUUGUGAGUGUUGUACUACUAUUUAGCGUUUUGGUGUCUUGAUGUUUAAGUAAUUAGUUAAGUAUGGGAUGUAAUCGUUGUUUUAUGUACUUUGUGGUGCCAAUUUGAGUAUUAAGGAAUGUUGUGCAUAUGUUUGGGUUAAUUUGAGUAUUGGACUGGCAUGGGUAAACCAUUUUCAUUUGAUAGUUCAAGCCAGCCAGCUCAGCACGUCUUCAGUCAACACUGGAUUGAUUGUUCAAGUCAAGCCAGCCAGCUCAGUACGCCUUCAGUCAACACUGGGUUGAUAGUUCAAAUCAAGCCAGCCAGCUCAUCUCAUCUUAACUUAAUACCACAUGUCCAGUACGGAUGGUCAUCGCGUUUCAACUCCACGCGCCCAGUAUGGAGGAGUUGCUUCCUAGUCCACACGCGGCCGUACUCAAAGCAGACAACCAAUAGGAGGCUCUGGAUCACAACUUAUUGGGCCUAGAAUGAUCAGAGAAAGGUCCAUUAAGCCAACACUUUGAGGGCUAUAAAAGGGGGAAGUUUAGAUGUGAUGGGACAGAUCCCAGAUAGUAAAAAACAUUGUAUUAUUCAUUUACUCCUGUAGAGUGCUCUUGAGACUCCACCUAGGACGUUUCACUGAGCAGCUCACCUGUUGUAAUUAACUUGUGUUUACAUACGUAAACAAGUAUUAAGGAAUGUUGUGCACACUAGACCAACAAUUAUAUAUGUCGCAGUUUAGCUAGGAUCUACAUAUGAUAUGGAAGAAUAUUUUGUAAGCAUCCCAGGAAGAAUUUCUAACCACAGCAGGCCUUAUGUGAUUUCCUAUUUUAUGUGGUGCAUUGAUCUGUUUACACUCCUUCAAGGAGUCUCCUUAACUUAGAACAGCGUAUGGGAUGCUUUUUUUUGUGUUGUUAACAUGUUCAACAAGUCUCUCUAUCUUAUCUCUUGGAGUACAUAGGACAUCCAUUAGGCAGAGAAUCCAUGUUCAGCAUUGUGUGGAAAUUAACAAUGAUUGCCUUACUUGAGACAUUCAAAAUAAGCAUGCUUAUGCCAUGUGUUGGUCAAUUAAUUGUACAUGAGAUAUUUUAUAAUGUAACAAAUGCUCUUGGGCAGUUUCUUAGUUUGGACUGUACAAUGGCCAUAAUCAUAACAGGAAUUUCAUUCUUGACAAUCUCCUCAAACCAUUGAAAUUGUUUCAGAUGCUUGCAAGGCACUUAUGGCAUAUAUCUUGAGCCAAUACAAAAUGCCCUUAAUAAGCUAAAUCUUUCGAUACAUCUCCAAAUGAUCUAAUAUGUGCAGAAGCUAUUAUUGCUUGAUAUAGGUGUCUAUUACCUCAUUCUUGCAUCUACAAACCAUAUACUUUGAGUUAUAAGAACCUGGUUUCGUAAUAAUAAUGGAGUAUUCCUCGAUAUAUGUCCAUAACAGGAGCUAAUCUUUUAUAGUAUCAAAUCUUCGUGCCCAACUACUUUUGGCUGAAGAAGGAGCUAACCACAUGAUGAUGUCUCUGACAUGGGUUUAGUCCACAGUCCUUCAUUGCCAUGAUAUGAGAUCAGGGUCCUGAUUAGAAGAGCAAGGUACCUCAUAGUGCAAGGCCUCAUUACUUCACGCAAUGGAUUCAUAUAGUUGUGUCUAUGUUAAUUAUAACGCUAGCCUACCUUAAUUAAUAGAAAUUUGCACAUUGUCUAAUAAUUGUUGUUUUAACGCACUAUUAAUUGUUUUAACAUGUUCAAUGUUGGACAUGUUAGACAAACCCUUCAAAUAUGGUAAUUAAAGAUAAACAUUUUGUGCAUACUUGAUAUUCAUCUAAAAUUAAUUUUUAUGUAAUUUUAACAUUUUUUUUAGUGAAGAUGUCAAUUAAUGUAAUUUUGAAUUGAGGAUAACUAAUCAAAUAUGGUUAAAACUUUUUCAUAUAUACUCCUUCCUUCCGUAUUUUAUUGUAUUUUAUUAUAAAUCACUUUGAAAAAAAUGUUUCAGUUUUAUUAUAAGUCGUUUUGCAAUAUCAUUGCAUCAUUAAUGAUUUUUUUUUUUCUAUCAUACCCUUGACCAUUUAUUGUUCUCCCUUCUUUCCAUUCUUUUAAUUUUUUUUCUCAUAAUUAACAAGGGAUAAUCUUGUAAAAUAAUUUAUCUUUAAAAAAAUAAUUUCUUACAGUAAUUUAGAAUGUUUAAAAGAGUGAUUGGACACAGUGAAAGCCUUAAAAGUUCAAGUGAUUGGAUGGAGUGAUAGCCAGUGACAACAAUAGGGUAAUGGACGUUGGUUCAAAUAUUCAAUAAUAAAUUUUACAUAAUACAAUUCCAUGCUCAUCUCACGGUUGGCCUAAGCCUAAGGCCGAAUAGAGCUAUAAAAAUAAAUGUCAUACAAAUCUACUAAUGUUUUUGAUAUAUACAAUAACACCACAUAAUAUAACAUAACUUUUCCUAUUAGGCUAACCAAGUCCUACAAAUUCAGACAGGUGGUACAUUGAAAUGAAUUAAAAACAUGACUAUGAAAUCCAAUAAUAUCUUCAAGUUGACACAUUUAUCAAGAUAGCAAAGAUGAGCGUUGGACUGCUUUAUAGUUUGUGUCAACUAUAGAUUGUAACAUGUGGAGUGGAGGAAUCAUAUCUUCAGCCAUUUAUGUUAUCUCAUUUCUCAAGUCUCAACCAGUUCAAUAAAAGCUUCACUUUGUUACUCACCCAUGCCAAGUGUCACUGUGUCAGUUUCCUCGUAGCAAAUAACACAUAUGACAACAAAAAAGGGAGAGCUCAAGUUGCUGUCAAAGUUUAUCAGCAAAUUGUCAGAUCAGAACCUGUCCAUUAAAGUCCAAAAUUAUGAUAAUAACAACCAAUAUUAACAACAGUAAAUGAAGACAAUGAUAGUCAUUAUUAUGGAUAUAAUGAUAGACAGUGAGUAAGUAGUACUUGAAAUUGUGAGAGUCAAUUAGUCUCUCAAAUUUAUGAAAUAACAAUUUAAUCUCUUAAAUUGAAUAAUGUCAGAUAACUUCAUACUUUUUUCAAAUUUCACACCAUAAUUAUAAAGAUUAUUGGGUUAAUAUGCGGUGUACAACUCAUUUGUAUGGCUGCUCUUCGCCAAAUGUGGAUGAUUUUCUGGACUCCCCUCGUGACCCAACAAUGGUAUCAAGGUUGAUGGUUCGACAAAGUGUUCAUCCGGCUCAUUGUGUCGACAGUCUUCCUGAGAAUGAUGGUCAGACAGUGUGUCCCAUUGAGUGCAGCAGCAAUGGUGGUGCAAGUAUAUGUAGAUGAAAAAAACUUCCGCUUGAGGGGAAGCCUAACUAGAUGAAUAGAAUGACUCACACUUGAGGGGGAGAUUGUUAUGGCAAGCGAGGUGAGUUAGAAGUCCCAAGUUAGAUGGAAAAGUGAGUGUUGAACAAUAUAUAAGUGAGAGAAUCCAUAAACAAAAUGCCUUAAGGUUUUGGGUUAAGAUGUGGUGUCCAACUCACUUGCGUGGUUGCUCUUGCCCUGAUGAGGAUGAUCCCCUGAGCUCCCCUCAUGACCCAACAUUAUGCUUGUCUUGAUGCAGCACGAGGCUACUGAAGUCAAUAUUUAGGUAUUUUAGUGGUUUUAACGAAUGUUUACUAAUGAUGAAAUAUUGUGACAGAGGGACUAAAUUGAUUGAUGUUCUUUAAUCGAAGGGACUAAAUAGCUAUUUUGUAAAAUUGAGGACUAAAUUGACUAAAUCUUACAAUUUCAAGGACAAAAAUGCUUAUUUACUCAAUGAGUUGAGGUCCUCUCCAUUUCUUGAAAGAAGUGGACAUCUCCAUUACUACAGUUUUGUGUAAUGAGUUAUAAGGACUAUGCAAACAAAACAAAAAUGGCAAUUUCAAGAAGUUCUGAAAAACAUAUUUCACCUUUUUGCUUAAAACUUAUGGCCAAAAGGAUGACCAUAGUUCCAUAAGCUCACUACUUCUUUAGAAAGUACACUCCAUCCCGAAGUUCUAACUUUUCCUCAGAGACUAGACCAGAUAAAAAGCUUUGUAGUUGUUGGAGUGAUUUGUCAUAAGGGGGAUCAGCAAUGCAAAACAUCUGUGGCAACGGAAAGAAUCAAUUUGUUGAUCAUGUCACGUGUGCUUAACAUUUAUAAAGGUGUAAAACCCUUUCUUUGUUGAAGGGUAUAGAGGUGAAAAACCAUUAUUACCUUGAGAGUAUUGUGAAUGCGAUCUAAUGCCAUGCUACCAAAGUUUGUGAGCAUCCCCAAGAUAAAUUUCUGCCAUAAAACAAUACAUGUUAGAUAUCUUUAUUCAUAUGCAUUUGCAUAUUCCCUUGUGAUUGAAUACUUCAAUAAACAUAAACGAGAAACUUGUGCAACCCAAAGUAACCAUCAUCAUAAGGCAAAAUAUUUAUUAUUAUAUAAUAAAUAUUCGAAAAACUAAGAGUAACAUGCUAAUGAUGAAAAAGAUGUUUAUAUUUAUUCAGGGACUUCAGUUCUCUUAUGGUGUUUGUUCAUUCAAUGGUUUUGCUCUUCACUACACAUGGAAAAUGAUAAAAAGCCAUUUUGUUGUCAAAAAACCAUUAAGAAUUACUACAAAUUCACCAAAGGUUAAAAUAACGUACAUUAAAAGGACUCUAAAAUGUUGGUACUAAAUUUUUUAUAAUUGAUUAAAAAUAUUAAAGCAAGUCACAAUAUGAAAUGAAGAGCUUUAUUUCAUGUACCUCAUACACAGUCAUCUCCUUCCGAAGUUGAUUUUCUACCGAGGCCACAGAUCUGUCUUCCUCUUCAUCACCUCCAAGAAGUUCCUGAGCAUUGCCACUGCCGCCUCCAUUCCUACUUGUCUCAGCCAUGUUUUCCAUAAUAGUGUAUACAAGGUCAGAGGAAUCUCCCCCCGACGACUCUGCAAUGACCCCCUGUUACAAAAACACAGCCGCGAGUGAAGUUACAUCGUCACUGCUAAAUUUAAGACUAGCAGUUUUAAAAUAACUAGAAUUCUUGUUUUGGACAAACCAACAGAAGUUUCCUAAUUGGGCAAGAGAUAAUAUUUUUCUCAUAAACUAAAUGUAACCAUGCUGCAAAAGUGUUUGUACUAAUACCUGAAAGUAUACCAAAAAAAAUUAUACAAGAGGCCUAACAGACUCACCUUGCUUAUCCAAAAAUUUAUUCUCCUAUUUAACACAUCCACAGGUAUCCCAAUAGCAGCUGCAAGGUGUUUAGAGGUCCAACUGAAAGCAGAAACAUAAUAUUACAGUACAGUCAAAACAACAGACUAAAUGUAUCGAUAGAUUUUUAGGAUACCUCGUUUGAUCUUGAAAUUUCAUAAUAAUAGAUGCAAGAACAGGGGCUACUGUGAAUUGCAUUUCCCUAUCUUCAAACUGCAACUCCAGCUAUACCAUUGGACAUGACAAAAUUAGGAGAAAGAUAGAACUGUAAGGGACAACACCACUAAUCAAAUUAAAAAACUGUGCUAAAUACCGCUAGACAAUAAGAUCUGGAAGGAAAAAAAUAGAACAACUAACCUUGACAGUCCCAAGACUUUUUUUCCACUGAAGCUUACGGGGUGUUUUGACUUCACUAAAUCUCUUCGCAUAAUCGGAGAGAAGCUUGUCAACAGGUUCCGGCAGGUUAAGGGGCUCAUCCUGUAAUUCUCUUCGAAGUCAGUCAUAGAACAGAGUGGAUAGCUUCGCAUGACAACAAAGAAAGACAACAACAACCAAGCCUUAUCCCACUAAGUGGGGUCGGCUACAUGGAUCAAAUGACGCCAUAGUGUUCUAUCAUACACCAAAUUUGGAUCCAACUCAUUGACCUCUAAAUCCUUUCUAAUAGUUUCUCUAAUAGUUUUCCUAGGUCUUCCUCUACCUCUUUUAACUUGACUCUCCUCCAUUUGAUCUACUCUUCUUACCACGGCAUCUACGGGUCUUCUCUCUACAUGCCCAAACCAUCUAAGCCUAUUUUCUACCAACUUUUCUACUAUAGGUGCUACCCCCACUCUCUCUCUAAUGGUGUCAUUCCUAAUCCUAUCCUGUCUAGUCUUACCACUCAUCCAACGCAACAUCCUCAUCUCUGCUACACUUACUUGAUUCUCAUGUUGACUCUUAACCGCCCAACACUCCGUACCAUACAACAACGCCGGUCUGACUGCUGUCCGAUAGAACUUUCCUUUCAACUUAAGUGGUACUUUCUUAUCGCACAAAACAUAUGAGGCUCUUCUCCAUUUCAACCACCCAGCUUGAAUAUGAUGGCUUACAUCUGCUUCUAUUUCUCCGUCAUUUUGUACGAAGGACCCAAGAUAUUUAAACCGUGUAAAUUGGGGUAUGAUAUGAUCUCCAACUUUCACCUCCAAGGUAGACCUACUUCUCCUUCCGCUGAAGUUACAUUCCAUAUACUCUGUCUUGCUUCUACUCAAGCGGAAUCCAUACGCUUCUAAGGCUUGCCUCCAGGUCUCUAGCCUCCCGUUUAGUUCCUCCCUCGACUCACCCACCAAGGCAUGACAACAAAGCAAUUGAUAAAACUAUAUUUUCGUUGAACAAUUCAUUUUAUUGAAAAUACUAGACUAUAUUAUCAUAGUUAUUAAUGUUAUGCUUCAAGUUGAGAACAGUUCAAAAUAAAACAAGAGAUGAUAAAAGCAGAGCUAAUUGAACUUCAGGAAACGAUAACUAAUAAGACUAUGAAAUGCUAAAGCAAAUUCAUGCUAGUUUGAAGAAACUCUACAUGAGUUUACAUGGAACAACAAUGAAAGAGAAUAUCAAUAAUUUUUUGAAUUAUUUUAAGCUUCAUGAAAAAAAAAAAAAAAUAAUCAAAAUUUUAAACCUGAUUUGAUAUGUUUUUACUUUCCUUUUAUGAAAGAGAAGUUUGGAUAUUGUGUAGCAUCAACUUCUUGCAUAUACAUAAUGAAUAGUUCGUUUACUUUUGGAAAAUACAAUGUUUAUUCAACAUAAUAGACAAAUGUAAAAUAUACAAGUGAUGAAUGACAGUGGAAACAUGGUGGAAUGAAAAGAAAAGCUUGCUCAAAUUCUGAAAUUUUAGAUUACAAUUGCUUAAGAUAAGGCAAGGAUGAGUUGCCUAAAACUAAAAUGAUUUGAAUUUACAAACUACAGUAUUAAGUAAAAAGGAGUCAGUACUGCUAGGCAUUGACGAGCACAUAUAAAUACAACAACAACAACAACCAAGCCUUAUCCCACUAAGUGAGGUCGGCUACAUGAAUCAAACGACGUCAUAGUGUUCUAUCAACAACCAUGUCUUUCUCCAACUCAUUUAUCUCUAGAUCUUUCCUAAUAGUUUCUCUUAUAGUUUUUCUAGGUCUACCCCUACCUCUAGUGAUUUGACUCCUCUCCAUCUAAUCCACUCUCCUAACUACAGAAUCCACAAGUCUUCUCUCUACAUGCCCAAACCACCCAAGUCUAGUAAUGUCGUCAUUUCUUAUUCUAUAGGUGCUAGCACAUAUAAAUAAUAGUAAAGACAAUCUAAUUGAAAUUAUUUAUUGUUAUUUUUGUCGAAGAAAUGAUAUUAAUGAACCUAAGUAUAUUAUACGGGCUGGGUAGUGAGAACUAUAACUUGAAUCAUAACAUAAAUAUAUCAAUCUUUUUCACAUUAUCUGAAAAUAAAAAAUCAUCAAUAAAAUAAUUUUAUCUGCAGACCUGUAUCGGAGGCCAGAAAUUAGAAGAUAUGAUAGUGGCGGCUACUUUAUCCAUGGAAAUUGCAUUGUCUUCAACCUCCACACCUAAGAGUGCAUAGACAAAUUUUGGUGAAAAGGAAUUGAAGCAAAUGAUAGUUAAAACUAUCUUUGGCAAUGAUCACAAAUAGAGGAUAUUUGAACUUGGAAAUUACUUGUCUGAGGUAGCUGACUUAUGGUAGCUUUAAUGUUAGUGUCGACUCUCUUUGAGCCAAUUAGAUCAUUGAGCAUAAUCUCGCAUUUUUGUAGGCUGCUCUCUCCGAAGUGUAUCUGCAAAAACAAAGCAUUGAACAGAUGUUUACGUAUUGAUAUCAAAAUAAAGAAUGAAUACACAUAAAAAAAAUGAUAAAAUAUUAACAACAUAUCUAGUCAAACAAAAAAGGCAACACAAGUUUUAUUUGAAUAAGAGUACCUUAAGGAGUUCUAGAGUACGUAUCUCUGAGUCAAUAUCAUAAUCAGAUUUAUUUAGAAGUUUCUCAGCAAGCAUAGUUCGAUAUUCAUGAACUAAUUGAUCUUUUGAACCAAUUAUGCCAACAAUCAUUCCAAGUAUGUCAACCUUCCUUUGGUUUCUGCUUCCCUUCAAUGGAUCUGCUUCUACAGGAUCAGGUUGCCAUCUGUUUGGAAAACCCCAUUAAGAAGAAACAUCAAUUUCAUAACCUAGCAGGCAGACCAAAUCAGAAAGAAAGGUGAAAACUGCGAAUCAAAAUCCAUAAUAUAAAUAUACCGUGUGGCAUUGAUCCAUGCUUGCCUAUCAUCAGUGUUAAAAUCAUCAUCAAUACCAAAAUUCUCUUGAAUUUCUUCAUCUCUGUUCAACUCUUCAAGAAGGCUAUCUCCAGGAUUUCCGGAUGCACUUGAAUUUCCCCCAGUCCCAUCUGUCAACAUGGUCACUAUGCAUUUUAUUGUAUCUCUCCUUCCUCUUAAGUAAUCCCUUAUUGGUUCACCAACUGCCUCAAGGAAAACACCAGCAGGAUCUAUCGUCCUUAGGGCUUUAAUAGUAGAAACGUAUUGGUGUAAUAUAUCAUUGGUUGAUGCGCCUGCAGUAAGAAGGCGAUAACGCAGUGCAGAAAUAAAUGACUCCACCAGCUUUGAAUGUUGUCCGGUGUAUUCAAGACAAAGUUUUAAGUCUUCAAUUGCAGGAGAGCUUCAAGUAUCAUCAGAGAGAAAAGGAAAAUAAAUGCUCAGAAAACAAUGCAUAAACAAAUGAGAUGGGAUCUACCAGAGAAUUAGUUUGUAAUGCUUAUUGUUGAAGUUCAAAAUUACUCAAAUCAAGGUUAAAGCAUGCAGCGGGAUAAAGCAUUAGUUUUAUAAUUAAAUUCAAUUUUUAUUGUCCAGUCAAAGAACCAAAACAACGAAUUACACAAGAACAUGUCAAAGCCAAGAACAAUCGUAAUUCUCCUCCAACUACUGCAGGAUGGUUAUACCCACUAAGUGACUAAACAUGUUUCUGUCAAUCCGGUGGACAAUGCCAUUCAGUUUAAUAAGACAUAAUAGAAGGUAACUAAUUAAUUUUCUAACAAAAAACCCAGGAGGAAAGCAAGGAAUUGCAAUUAACAAAAUACCUAUCGGGAUAAUCAACGAUUAUCUCAAAUAAUUUGGCUAUCCUUAAAUCUUGCAGUGUUUCAUAAGCAAAAUAUUCCAGUCGCAACUUCCAUCGGACAAGACUUUCAGAGGGAGUAUCAAUUCCGGGACAGCAUGACGAUGAUUUUGGGGCUAAAGGUGAUUUGAGACCUGAUGAAGUACUUUCGUAGCUAACAGAGUCACCAAGAUAGACAAGAAGGGCAUGGAGAAACUGGAGAGGAACAGCCUGAAUGAUUCCAGUUAUAAGUAUUGUAUGUUAGAAUCGUGAAAACAUUUGUUUAUCUAAAGAGUUGGCAAAGGUGCACAAAAUGUAUGCACAUACACAACAUAUAUGCACUACAAACCUGUAUCCAGCUUUGAAUAGAUUGUAAGACCGAACUCCUAAAAUCAUCUCCCGCUACAUCAUAUACUUUUGCCUGCAAGUCAGACAAAUGAGUCAAUGACCCACCCAAAGAUUAGAAUCAAACAGAGACGCGUGAUGAGUGCAACAUAAAGGCGAAAGAAGAAAUUGCAAGAGACUGAGGAAAACCGGAAGAUCCAGAUUUUGAAUUUCAUAAGCAUGCUCACCUUUAGUAGUAAAAAUAUAGCAGAAGCAUACGCAUCUUCAGCCAUUGAAGUAAAUCCAAGACUUCUGAGAUCAAGAACAACUUUUCCAAUGUUCUUCACCAGUUUACUGUUUUCUGAGAAUCGACGGUCACUAUAGCACUCAUCAACAUCCAUCUCACCAUCUUUGCAUAUUUUUCCUUUUUCAUCUAAAUCCAUGUCAUCCUUAUUUUGAGACACAUCAUCAGUGAACUCCCCAUCCAUGACUGUACUUAACUCCUCCAGCCUUCUUUUAAAAUACCAAUGCAAUAUAGCUAAUGGUAGCAAAUGAAAAAGAAAUACAAAGCCGAUUAGAAAAAUUUGAAGUUUUAAGCACAUCAAAAAAUAUCAAACAAGGGAAUUAAGCAAAACUUUCAAUCAACUAAUGUUUCGAAGAUCAAGAAAACAUUGCACAAAGUACUGACCUAUUUCUAAAUUAGAUCAAAAGAAAGCAAAUUUCCAUGUAAAAUUAGCCAUAUGGUGAAAACCAAGAGCAUUGUCGACAAGAUUCUAUAAUCAAAAUUGAAAGUAAAUCAUUCAUUUACAGUAUGAAAAGGAAAUCCCUCAUAAACAUUAACAUAAAAGAACAACAAACCGCUUACAAACCAGGGAAAACGCGAGGAAGUGUGGCCAUAAGCACAGAAGAGACAGUCCAUUGAUACUUAGAGGUAAGGUAAUUCCUUUCUGCUUCAAAAUUAUGCCUUUCCUCUGACGUUUGAUCCUUGAAAGAUUGUAAAGCAUGGACCAAAAUUAACAGACACUUCUCCUGGUACUGUUUCUCCAAAGAGAUUUCUUCCAAAGCAUUACACAGCACACUCUCAAUCUCAUCCUCAUCAAUCUGUUUCAUUUUAUUAAAAAAAAAAAAAAAAAAAACAUGGUAACAAGCUCUAUAGCACCAAUAAAAGUCUCUUAGAAUUUGUGUAUAGGUCUAACACAACCCUACAAAACUGGCUUGUGAGGUGAGGACUGCCCCACAUAUAAACACUUGUCGGGACAUCUCUUACAAUGUGGGACUCUUAACACACACCCCUCACAAACGGGACUGGACAUUUGAAGCGUGACCCAAGUGGCCUGAUAGCGGAAACCUGACAGCAGGUGCCUUAAGAGAUCUUGGACUCGCUCUAAUACCAUAUUAGAAUUUGAGUUGAGCCUAACUCAACCUUACAAAAGUGUCCAAUGUCAGACAUUUGUUGGUGUCCGACACCAGCACAAUGUGAUUGCAUUCAAUUAUGUCAUUUUUUCAAAUAAUUACUGGUGUAAGGUAUUUGUGCCCGUGCUUCAUAGGUACAAACCACAACCAAAACAAUGACAAGUAAGAUUCAUAAUUCAUAAACACUCACAUUGACAUCACCAUUCUUGUUCAAAGAAACAAAAUCAGCAUAAGGAACAAAAUGCCGCCAAAACCUCGAUGACCCAUUUCGUUCAAAAGUUUCCUACAACCAAAGAAAUCAAUAAAAAUUCAUACUUUAAAAUUCAAAUAGUGAAAUUCUCAGUUGGGUACCUCUAAGACUUUGAGAAAAUGGUCACGAACGAGUGACUCUAGACCAUGUUUACAAAGGGUGUGAACGUGAGAAACAAAUUCAGCACCGUAUGAAAGAUCGCCAGCACCGCCGAGAAGAGAUUGUGUGGCGUUGCAGAAGAGGGUAUAGCUUUCGAGGAUUUCGUGAAGUUGGUCUUCGCUGAGUGUAUCUAGGAUUCCUAUGUUGAACAGUGAUGAGUGAGAAUCCUCCAUUGUCGUUGUUCCACAGUGUGAUUGUGUUUCGAUGUUGGGGUUUGGUGUUGUGGAAAAACAACUGUGUUUUUUCAAUGUUUGGUUGGAGACUGAAAAUGGAGAGGACGAAAACUUGUGGACCCCACACAGGAAAAAAAAAAAACUACUAGUUUAAAAAAGACUUAUUUGAUCUAAUGAUCCCCUAAUUAAUUUCAAGUUUUUAUUCUGGUCCUACAAUUAAGAAAAUGUACAUUUUGGUCCCUCACUUUUUCCUCCGUUUGCCAAAUAAAUCCUGGGUGUUAAGUUUAACCAUAAACUAGACUUUCCACCCGUGCUGCCGCACGGGUCAUAUACAUUGUAGAUUUAUUAUACAUAAAUAAAUCUCAAUGCAUAUCAAAGAGAAUGAAAUAUGUGGUCCCAAAUAUAUGCAGAUGUUGGAAUUCGAACCUCAGACACCACGCUUAUUCACCAAAAAAAUAUUAAUUUUUAUCAAUCGUGUGUUACUUCAUUCUUUUGUUAAAAUUAUAUGUCAAUAUUAUAUUAUUGGUAUGUUACUUCAUAUUUUUCUUUUUUUUUUUGAAAAAAUGUUACUUCAUUCUUUUGUAAAAAUUAUAUGUUAAUGUUAUAUUAUGUACCUAAAAAUAGUUCAUUCUUAACCUUAACAUGUAAAAUGUUUUAUUUAAAUAAUUUUCCUUUUAUCGAAUAUUUGGCCUUUACCGUAAAUGAUACCCUUUAACUGUUUGUUGAAAUGUUUCUUCCACCUGUUUAUAUAGAUUGCAAAAUUCAGGUGCAUUUUGUGGUAAAUAUUUAAUAAAGAGAGUUCAGUUCUAAUUUCGAUGAAAAGUGUAAUAUUAACAAAAAAAAUGUUGCUAUAAUCUUUCAAAACCCUUUUAUUCCAAUAGGGCGAUUUGUUUUGUUGAAGAAAUAGGGCGAUUUGUUUUGAAGAAAUAGGGGAAAUAAAGCGAUGCCGAUUUGCUUUGCUCGUGAAAAUAGGAGAUUAGGUGUGAGCAUUAGCGUUGUUCAUGAAAAUAGAAGAUUAGGUGUGAGCAUUAGGGUUAAAACGGUAAAAUUAUGCAACAGGGUUUAGGUUAAAAUUAGGGCUCAUAAAAAUAUGAGAUUAGGUGUGAGCAUUAGGGUUAUUCAUGAAAAUAUAAGAUUAGGUGUAAGCAUUAGGGUUAAAACGGUAAAAUUAUGCAACAGGGUUUAGGUUAAAAUUAGGGCUCAUGAAAAUAUGAGAUUAGGUGUGAGCAUUAGGGUUGUUCAUGAAAAUAUAAGAUUAGGUGUGAGCAUUAGGGUUAAAACGGUAAAAUUAUGCAAUAGGAUUUAGGUUAAAAUUAGGGCUUACGGGUUACCUUUAAUAUAUAAGAAGAUAAGAAGAUUAGGUGAGAGCAAUAGGAUUGUUCACGAAAAUAGGAGAUUAGGUGUGAACAUUAGGGUUAAAACAGUAAAAUUAUGCAAUAGGGUUUAGGUUAAAAUUAGGAAAACAGUAAAAUUAUGCAAUAGGGUUUAGGUUAAAAUUAGGGCUUACUUGUUAACUUUAAUAUAUAAGAAGAUGUCUAUGGUAUGGUAGACCAACAUUAUAUAAAGUCCAUCAUAGACCCUAUUAAGUUUUUAAUUUAAACCAUUUGAUUUAUUUUUUAAAAAGAGGAGCGUUGGAUCAAGAAGGUCCAUUGUAUGUUAUAGUACACCAUCAAUAACUGCUAUUUUCCCCAUUUCUUCAUCUUCUUUCUUCAUCAACAUAUCAUCUUCAUCAUUAUUCAUCAUAAAAAAUCCAACAAAAAAAACCUAGAAAACACAAAAUCAAAUUAACCCAAAACCCCAUCAAACCCUAAUUUCAAUAAUUUCUUCUAAUUAACCAAACUUCAUUAAACCACAAUAACAAAUCAAACCCAUACAAUAAAAAAAAAUAAAAAUCAAUUUUUUUCCACCACCGCCAGUUCUCACUUCCGCCACCAUCGUUGGUUGUAGUUUGAGACUUGGGUGAAGCAUUUCAUCAAAUGGGUCUCGUGCAUAGUGCAACAUCAACCUUUGAGAACUGUGUUAACAGAGAUUGAAUGAAAAAUGCUCACAAGAUCAAAACUGUGUUUGGAGAAUUUGAUGGAAGCCAUGUUAAUUUGAUUUACAGGAAUGCGACAUCAUCGUCGUCGUGUUUGGAGAAACCCACAAUUCCGGUGAAACCCACAAUUCCGACGAAACCCAUCAAUUCCGUCGAAACCCACAACCACCAACAGUUCCGGCGAAAACCAUCAAUUCCGGCGAAACCCUCACCUUCCACCAUCAAUUCCGACGAAACCCACAAUAGCUGCUUUAACGGAACGGAAGAACAAUCGUAACAGAAAACCUAAUCCACGUUUCACUAGCCACAACAUAUCACGGUGAUUUUGCGAUGUGACUUUCUUUCUUCUGUUUUCAGUUUGUUUCAAAAUGGAGAAAGAAAAGAGCAUUCUAGAAAUGUCCAUAAGUUGUUUAAAUGUUAGGGUGAUUAAGAUAAAUUGAUUCUGGUUUUUUUGUUCUUCGUUAUUUUCUGGAUUUUUUUUUAUGAAUGUUGAUGAAGAUGAAGAAGUUAGGGAAGAAGAUGAAGAAAUGGAAAGAAAAAAAAAAUCAAGUGUUGUUGACUCACGGAAUAUACAGUAGACAUGCAUGCAUAAUCUAACGACCCUCUUUUAAUAAAAAAAAAUCAAACGGUUUAAAUUAAAAAAAUGAAGGACUGUCACUAACGGAACUUUUAUUGUUUUAACAGAAAGGAUUUAUUUGGCAAACAGAGGAAAAAGUGAAGGACCAAAACGUACGUUUUAUUAAUUGUAGGACCAAAAUGAAAAAUUAAAAUUAAUUAGGGGACCGUUGGAUCUAAUAAGCCUUUAAAAAAAUUGUUAAUUGCCUUCACGGUAAAUAUGGACCGACAGGGAUGUCAAUAUGCAUUCGUAAAUGGAGAUCAUGCAUGGACUGUUCUAUUUGGAGAUGAGUGAUGGAUUUUUCUUCGUUGAGAUGGAGGAUAAAGUUCCUUUGAUGAUAAUGUGGAGAUGAGAACGAAGAUCAUACCAUUGCCAUGCAAUCUACAAGCACCUUGUCCCUGAGUAAUUCACUAAAAUAUUAAAUAUGUUAUAUUUAUUUAUCUUUUUUUCAAAAAAAAAAAAAAAUUAUCUUUUCAUAUAGUAUGUGUAGAAAAUUAAAGAAGUCGUAAGGGAUAUGGGACAAUUUUAAUGGUGAAAUCAGGAGUGGAGAAGUACUUCCCGCCUCCGCCCUGCCUUUUUGAAAUCUUUGCAUGAUAGCUCCCCACGCUAAAAAAUUGUCAACUAGACCACAUAGAAAUUCUUCCAUCAAUGUACCCUUUUCUAACAAGUAGAUCCUCGCUAUCAAGCACAACUAGUAUGUUUUUCUACAUUUAAACCUAAGUCAUUUGAAGUAUUAGACAACACUUUAGAUGGACAUGACUCGAUGUCCAUAAAAACUUUCCACAUUUGACAGCACAAAGUUUCAUGUAGUACACUCAUAUUAGGACAUAAUAUUUCACAUAUUCACACAUCACUUUUUAGAUUUGCUCAACACAACAGAGUCACAUAAUCACGUAGAGAAUCAAUCAGAAUAUGACAACGUCUUUCAAUACACAAGAAUUCAGUAGAACAACUUUACAGAGGUAUUGAAAACCCAACAUAGUCAUAAGAGAGUCAUUUUAAAUAUAACAGAGUUAUUCAUAAUAUCACAACCGUUCAAAAUAAUUUAACAAAAUCAAAUCAAAUAAAUAUUUAUCAUGUAAUUUCAAGCAAAGACUGAUAUAAGUCAUAAAACACGUUAAUAGUGUUGCUAAUUCAUAUUUUAACUUUUUUUUUUUUACAAACUUUUCAUAUUUUACUUUUAACUUAUCACACCUAUAAUCAUAAUUAUCCUUUUAUUUCACUCCAAAGAGUCUAACAAGUAGUUAAACUUUGGAUAAUGUAGGAAUUUGACAUUCCAUUUGUCACUAAUUAUUAUUACACAGUUAUCCAAUCAAAUUUUAUUUCGCACUCUUACUUUAAUUGAAGAUUAUGGUCCCGUUUGAAUUGAUUUAUUUUGAGCUUAUAUGGGCUUAUCUACUCCCAUAAGCCUUUUUAAAGAUGUUUGGGUAAAUAAAUAAAAAUAGUUUAUCAUAGUUUCAUAAGCUGCUUAUGCUAUAUUUUAAUAAGCCUAAAUUUUCAGCUUACCCUCUGGCUUAACAAGGAGCUUAUGAAUUUAUGUAACCUCCUUCGAUUCUCUCUGGAUCCACUUUUUCAAAACAUAUAUUUUAAUUAUAAUUUUUUUUGAAGGAAUAUUUUAAUUAUAAUGUUAGUUAUCUUUGGCGGUGUAUCAGUAACAAAAUUGCAAUAUACUUAUCUUACUAAAAUAACAAACGUAACUAAGAUUUUUUUUUUAAGAAGAUUUUUAUUAUUUUUUUUGAACAAGCUAUUUUUUAUUUUUUUUUUGUUACGUAACAAAAUGAAACUGAAUAAAAAAACAAAUUUAACUUGUCUUUUUUGGGUAACAAACUGCACACUAAUAUCAAUAUAUAUGAUAUGUUUAUUUACAUCUCUAAUGUUAAUUUUGUCUUAUAUGAAUAUUGAUAUUUUUUUUUAAGGACAAAUACUGAUUAUACUAUAUAUAUAUAUAUAUAUAUAAUUAUAAUUAAUAUGUUAUAAUAUUGUUUUUUUACGCCUUGAUUAAUUUUAUCAAAAAAAAUCUUGAUAAUUGUGGUUCAAUUCUUUGAUUUUUUUUUUUAAAUUAAAAAUAUUUAAAAUUUCGAUAAUUGCUUAUGUAAUGUCACAUCCAAACACUUCAAUUUAUGUAAGUACUUUUUAGUGUACAUAUCCAAACAUAAAUAACUUAUCAAGUAUAAGAGAUUAUGAUAUAAGCUCUAAUGUUAUAAGCACUAGUGUUAUAAGCAUCAAUAUAAACUGUUUAUCCAAACGGAGCCUAUAUCAAGUAAGUUUUGAGCACAAAAGCUAAGUUCAACAUCAGAAACAACCGGAGGAAUUGGAGUGUUGAACAUGAUUCUUGAUUGGCCGCCAACUGGACAUGCUCUUAAAAAAAAAAUCAUUUUCAUGUGGCUUGUUGCAUCAGUCAAUUAUUUUAUAUAGGCUUAAAUAUAUAAUCCGUCCUUGUAAUUUAGAUGCGUUUUGAUUUUCGUCUUGUAAAAAAAAAAAUUAAAAACAUCCCUGCAAAUUUUUUUUUGUUUUAAAAAGGUCCCUGCCCUCACUAUUCAGUUGAAGUGACAUGGUUUUGGCCACGUGGCAGUUGCUGACUUUGCAACUUUUGCCACGUGCAUGCCAUAUAAUUAAUUUUUUAAAUUAAAAAAAUCCGAAAAUCAAUAUAAAAAUCAUAAAAAAAUAAAAAAUCUGAAAAAAAACUGAAAAUUAAAUUUUUUGAUUUUUAAUUAAUUUUUUUCUUCAAAAUUCUGAAAAUUAAAUUUUCGAUUUUUAGUUAAAAAAAUAUUUUUUUCAAAAUUAUGAAAAUUCAUUUUCUUUAAAUUUUAAAAUCAUAAAAAAACUGAAAAUUAAAUUAUAUUUUUUAAAAACACUAAUUUUCAAUUUUUUUCUUCAUAUUUCAAAAAAAAAAUGGAAUUUUUUUAUGAUUUUUUAAUUUAUUUUCAGUUUUUUAAAUUUAAAAAAAAAUAAACUUUUAAUGACGUGGACUGCCACGUGGCAAAAGUUGCACAGUCAGCAACUGCCACGUGGCCAAAAAAGGCACUAAUCUUCAAUGACGGCUUCGGUGGAUGAAUUAGGUCUUGUAGUCUUGUAUAUAUACUGAAGCAAUAUGGGUUAUAAUAUCCUGUUGGGCUUCAGAACAAAAGUAGAUCCAAAAGCUGAUCCACGAAACAAAUAUGGAAACUCCUAAAAAGUAGGAACAUCUUUAGGAACAAUCCAAACACAUUCAAAGUUUCCUAAAUUGUUGUCACAAUUUUAGGAAAUAACAAACCAACCGAUUCUGUGCCAAAAGACACGCAGCUUGGCCAACAAGAAAUAAGACGUGGUUUCCUUAAAAAGAUAAAGCGUGCAUAAAUCUUGGCACAACUUCAGGGCACACUGAACUGUGCUAGGAUGUUGGAACAUCGUAUACAACAUCACACAUGAAUAUUUAUUUUAGCAAAAGUGAAGUCAACACACAAAUAUCCAACAAAAAGUAAAGAAAGCAAUUGGCGCCGUAAAUAUCCGGAACAUCUACAAAGGAACACCUUAAAAUCCCAAAAUGAUGAGGCCGGAGUAUAUACAAAUGGCAUGAACAACCAAACGCAUACCCAUGUGUGUGUACACACCGGUACCCAAUUUUAAAAUUUUGAAAUUUUAAAUUUCGUAUGUCUAUUUAAAAAGAUCACUUAAUAUAUGUUAAUUACAAAAUAUAUCAAGUUUUUAAUGUUAUGGAAUGAUUAUUUAAAUUUAACUAAGUUGCAAUCUUAUGUGUGCGCACGUGUACCCAAUUUCGAAAUUUUGUAAUUGUAAAUUUCAUAUUUCUCUUAAAAAAAUCACGAAAAACAUAUUUACAAACUAGAUCAAGUUUUUAUAUUAUAGAAUGAUUAUUUAAAUUUAAUACAGUCACGACCUACCUAAAAAAAGGAGCAGCAAUCUUGUGUAUACGCAUGAGUAUCUAGUUUCAAAAUUUUGUUGUAAAUUUCAUGUUUCUAUUACAAAGACAAAGCGCAAUGCACGACCUAGUACGUCUACUAUGGGUGUUCUUUGGUGACAAUUAGGGUACCCAUGAAAGAAUGGUGGGUAAUUUACCCCAAUCAAUACACAUUAGCCACAUAAGCACAUUUUUAAGUGGUAUUCAUGAACUAUCUUGACCCCACCAACAAAUUGCUCAUUUUCAUUGGUUGAUGGGUAAAUUACCCACCAUUUUUCAAAGGUAAUCUAGAAAACACCGUGUUCUUUUAGUUUUGAAAAUGUGUCAAAUCUAACUAUUUUGAACAAACAGUGCAUAAACAAAUUUAGAAUUAAGGCUUGUCUAAUAUGAACCCUCCAAAUUUUGUUUUUUUUACUAAAGUUGGACCUUUCUCAUUUUUAAUAAUAAAAAGAAUAAUAGUAAAAAAUGAAAAAAAAAAUCUGCUACUUUAUUAAAAUUUACUAAAAAUGAUAAAAUCCAUCUUUGAACUUUUUUUAGUAUCCAUAUUAGAUUCACACAACAAAUUAUAAAUGACCAAAUAAAAAUAUUAAUUUUCCCCUAAAAAAAAUAAAAAUAUUAAUUUUAUAAAUGCAAACAUAUGGUAAACGUGGAGUAUUGUUUAUUAUUGGGGAUUGACAAUGGACCACAACAACAAUAACGACAGUUAUUGUGUUACAAUUAUAUUUACAGGUCUCACCUGUAUACUUAUAUACAGAUACAUCUCAUAAUGUUAUACCAAAAAAUAUAUACAUCCCAUGCAAAAUGAUGAAAUUAAAGCUAUGCCUAAAUAUGGUUUGUAUACAGUACUACGUAGCAUUCAUGCAUCCAACAGGGUGUAAAUGAAAAGCUAAAGAAAAUAAAAGAAGGAUAUCACUGCUGUCUACAGAAGCUACAGUACAAGUGCAGUACAAGGUGAAAACUAUGUUACACAUAUGUGUUGUGUUGGUUAUCAUCUGCUGGUGGUACUGGGAAAUUAAUUUUUUACAGUAUCAAACAACACUAUCACUCCUGCACAAAAUCAACUCCUAUGUUAAAUAUCAGUUACAUGUACCAAAAGAAGAGUAAAAAUGUUAGUGCAAUAGUUACUUUGGAUGAAAUUCAAUAAAUAAGGUUAUAUUAAUAGAAAAAAUAAAUAUUGUAUUACUAGUAUUGUAAAGUGACAAUUAUUUUGACACACUAAAAAAUGUUAAAGUAACGAUGAAAAUGAGACGGAGGAAGUACAUUUGAGUAGCAUUGCACAAAUUCAUGCACUUGUUUAUUCUAAAUGCAUGCCAUCGUUUCAAACAAGUCCUUUUCGAAGAUGAUGGUAAUGAUUCAGAUGAUAGCAACAAAGAGCAUUAUCCACCAUUUGCCAUGCCUAAAAAGAUGACUAAUUUUAAGUGGGUGUUAGGAGUCAGAUUUGGUACCAAAGAUGAGUUCAAGGAAGCAAUUACCAACUAUGCUAUCUACAAUAGAACUUGUUUGAAACGAUUCAAAAACUAAAAGGACUUGUUUGGAACUUUUGAAACUUAAAGGAUCACUUUGGGAAAAACGAAAAAUUUAAAGGACAUUUAGAUGCAUUUGACCAUUCAUAUAAGCAAAUGUUAGAUGCCUAAAGAGUAACUUCCUUAGCACCUCUCAAAAAAUGUUGGGCAAGUAUAAAGGUUUGAAUCUAUAAGCUUUCCAAACUACCAUGCUAAUCACACUUUCUACAAAUAUUUGCUCAUAACAAUUUUUUAAGUUGAUUGAUAGAUAAUAUUAGACCUUCGAAAGGUUCAUAUCAUCCUAAAAUGACCUAUAAUAUGCAAUAGUAGGUUAUACUUUGAGCUACAAUUUAAAAAAAAAAAAAAAAAACCCAAUUUAUUCAAUAAAAAAGUUUGUUUUAACUCAAGUCUCAUCUAAUCUAAGAUUACGUGUACAUCUUCAUAUAUUUUUUUGACUCAAGUCUCCUCUAAUCAAGGAUUAUGUCGGACAUCUUCAUAAAUUUUCACAAACUUACUUAUAAAUUGUGUGUAGUCAUUUGGGGAUUAGUUGCCUCGUGGUAUCUGUGUCAUGUUCUAUGAUGUCUAUGUUGGAGUUCCUGCUUCAUAUAUUGCCCAUAUUAUUAAGAGGAAAGGUGUAAAAGGGUCAAUGUCAGAAUAUAUGAUAUUCAUAAUUUUUUUUUUUUGGUUACAAUAUGAUAUGAUAUUCAUAAUUUUGAAGAGCUCAUUUUGAAUCCAUGCUUAAUGGAUCUAUAUUAAGGUAGAAGAUUGGAGAGAUUAUGCAAACCUAAAAUAAUUUUUAAAACAAAUUGAAAUAAUGGAACAUGGAUCAUUUUGGAAACUUAGAUCACAAAAUGGAGAUUAUUUGAUUAAUAUUUCUUCUUGGAAGAUUUUUGUGUUUCUACGGUUCUACAAGAAGAUAAAAAGAGUGAAUGACUUCAGUUGAGAAAAAUUAUAAUUAAGAGAGACGGGACUAAACAUUUUCGUCAUAGUACUGAAUUUUUUUCAACAAAUCUUGAUUCUUCAUUAGUUAGCUUCUGCCCUAGUGCAUGGUGGAUCAUGGAUUCUUUCUUGGUUUACACAACUUUGCUGACCUUUAGAUGAUCUAAAUAAAGAUGGUAUUGUAAUUGUGUUCUACAGUUUUGUUUUGUUUCUACUCAAGUAAAGUCUAAACAAUGUUUUCUCUGCUAUGUGCAGAAGAUGGUAUUUGGAGAGAUUCCAAUUGUGAGGUCGUUUUGAAAGCCAGUACAAAGUAGUUGUAACCUGCAGGCGAAAUGUGAUGAGGGAGUUAUGCAUCCAGGCUUUAUUGAAAGAGGUAUGCAUUGUCAUUAAUAAUGAGAUUUUUUUUAACCAAAUAAACUUAUAGAACUUCAUUAAUAAAAAAUCAGUUCAAUAUAAUUUAGUAUCUCAACCAACAUCUGAAAACUAGCGGUAAAUGUGGCCGUCUUGGAUAAAUUAUAAACAAUCUCAUUUGUUUGUCUCAGCAUAUACUUCGUAUUAGAGUUUCUAUAAUAAUGAUAAAAAAAAUAGAUUUAGAAUGGUUUAUGAGCAACCUCAUUUAUUUGUCUCUGCACAAACUUCUCAUCGCUUCUUGACGAGAGGAAAAUAUCCACCACACCCUCUUAAAGUCAAACUCAAAAUCAACCGGUCACAAGUUUAACUCGUGAAUUUAAGAGCCGAAAGGAAGCCUAAUGCUUCACCAACAUGCACAUCACACUUAGGAGCAAACCAUUAUGUCUUAACUAAAACAAAAGCACCAACCUCAUCUCUAAUACAUAUAUCAUUGAUAUAAUAUCAAUCUCUACUUUGUUGUAUAGUGUAUAUAUAUAGGCAAAUUCUAUGGUACACUUAAAAAUUUGAAUGUACCGGUACACCAAAUCAUCAAAUUCAUAUUAAAACGAGUUGUUUUUUUUUAAAAAAAAAAUUGUUUUCUAUCAUUAACAAUUACAAUAAUUAGAUCUUAGUUACCGAAAGUGUCGACGAAAUAAAAUUUUACAUUUUUUGAAUUUUUGUUACAUAUAACAAAGAAUAUUUAUUAUUUUUUAUGAGAAAAUGUUAUAAAUUUAAUAUGAUUCUUAUAAACAAUGAAAUUGUGUUUAUUCUUAUAAAAUGAUGUCUUAUAAAAUAUAAAUAUUGAUAAAUAACUCUUUAUUUCAUAAAAUAAUCGUUAAAUUGUAAAUAUUUAAAGCAGGAGUACCGAUAGACCUCAAUUUGUGAGGUCUACCGUAGAAGUUCCCAUAUAAAAUUGUUAAUAUGAUAUAUAUAUAUAUUUCUCCUCUACUCAAUCCUCUUCAAUUGACUGUAAAAUUGUCUGAGGCACUUCUUUACUUGACAUAACAUAUAAUGAACUAUUUUCGACAUCACCUUUAAUCCAAAAUUGAUCCUAUUAUCCACUCUAGCUUAUCACUUUUUCCAUCUUUUCACUAUUCAGCUCAUUACAAUCUUUUUUUAAUCCAUCUCGGAUUUAUUCUUUCAGACACUCUCCCACAUUUCCUUCUCUUUUAGAGCCUCCACAACGAAAUAUUUAUUUUUGAAUACUUAAAUGAAAAAAAAAAAAAAAAAAAUCGCAUCAACAUAUUAUAAUCAAUAAGAAACUAAUUUUAACACUGAAAUGAUAAAAAUAAAUGCAGAUAUAAAGAAGCUAGGGCAAUUAAACUAGAAUUGAACCUAAAUUUAUCAGUAGAAGAAAUUUUCAUACCACUAAGAAAGAAGAUUUUUUUUACUACAUACUACUCUACAAUAAGUAUUAAAUUUAUCCCUUUAAAAAAAACUAAGUGCUUAUGCAGUUUUAAAUAAAACCAUUUUCAAUCUCUUCAUCUCAAAUCAUUUUUUUUAAAAUAUGAACCAAUAAAAAUAAUUAAUUAUAUAAAUGCAAACAAGGUAAACGUGGAUUAAAUUUUUUUUAAACAAACGUGAGUAAUGCUUUUUUCUUUUGGCGAUUGAUCAUGGACUCCGACAACAAUUUGGCAUUUGUCAAAAAAAAAAAAAUACAAUAUCAAUAGCUACCCUCUUUUCUUUUGAAUCCACAUUGCCGCAUGUUGCAUUUAUGUGUGGAGGUUUAAAGGUGUAUACCUCCUAUGCACUCUAGAAGAUUAUUACAUGAACACAACCCUACCCUAUCGAAUGAAUGCUUGACAUACAUAGUUGAGAAAGAAGGAUAUAACUAACGUCUACUAUACUAUAACAAUGGCAGAAGCUAUGGUACAACUAUCGUACAAGGUGAAACCAUGCUACACAAUAGUACACAUAUGUGUUGGUUCUCAUUAGUCAAGACGUUUAUCUGAUGGUGGUACAUGGAAAUUAAUUUUACACUGUCAAACAACACUAUCACACCUGCACAAAUCAACUCCAAUGUUAAAUGAGUAAAUAUCAGUUUUAUUUUUAUUUUUAAAUAAUGAGUAAAUAUUAGUUAACAACAACAAAACGAGAGAUGUUAAAUCAAUAAGUAAAAUUAAUUUAUUUUUAUUUAUAUGAUGUAUUUUAUCUAAAUUUAAGUAAAUGAAGAAUUUUCUUUAUUUUACUAUCAUUUUCAAUGUCUUAUUUAUAUAACUUUUUACAUCUGCUCCCACAUAUGUAUGUUCUUACUUCCUGAUACAAUUUUCUCCGAGCACUACUUCAAACAUGUGAAACCUUUUUUUUGGGAUUUUAUAGUGGCUUUGUCUAACGUUCAUAAAUAUAAUGGUUUUGUAUCAUGCGUAAGUGUCUUUAGUUUUUCACAAUUGAAUCAAUAAGUGACAUCUCAUUUGAUUUAAUGAUGAGAUUUAUUGAUCCAAUGAUAAAAACUAACUUGUGUAGAUUUGGCCUUUCAUGCUACAUACUUGGAAAUUAUAUACAAUAUUAAUUACUUGUGAAAUUGUGUGUCAAAUAUGUGUUUGGCUUAUAUAGAUAUAUUAUUGUAUUAAAAAAAAAAAAUUCUAUCUUCCGGAUAGUUAAUUAUUUCUAACUUGUUAGUUAACCCCUUUAUUGAUGAGUUUUAUUUGGGCGUCAUUAAUUUUUGGUGUUUUUGGUGUCUUUGUUUCCAUCUACUCCCUCUGGUUCUAUUUAUAAGAAAUAUUUGAUUUUUUUUAUUCCUAGCAUAAAUGAUAUAUUUGGUCUAUAUUCUAAACCCUAUACAUAUCAAUUACUCAAUGAAUCUAAAAAGCCGAUUUUUUCUUAUAAAUAUGACCCGAGGGAGUAAUUAAAAUACACUAAGGACACCAAUGACACCAAAAGCUAGUAACAUCCAAGUUAACUUCAGGGUCGGCCCUAUGCAAAUGCAAAGGAGACCUUUGCAAUAGGGUCUCAAAGUUAGAAGGCCUCAAGUUCGCACAAGAAAAAUACAAAAGAACUUUUAUCUACAAAUAUGUCACUAAAUGUUGUUUGUUCGUGGUAAAAAUAUGGAAGACAACAAUUUUACUGCCGAAUAUACAUUUACAUUUUAUGUAGGUAAAUGUCUAUAUGUCAGUAGAUAAAAGUCAUGUUUGGUAUGAGUUGCCUUAACAAAUGAAUUUUUUUUCAAACUAUUGAUAUUUGAACAGGGGUCUGUUUUUUAUAUUUUAGCAGGAAUUACAAUUUGAUUGAGUUGGCCCUGAUCAAAUCCAUUAAAUAAUAGUUACAUGUACUUUGAGUGAUUAACAAUUGAUCCAUAAUUAAAAAAUAUAAGCAACUAGUAGCGUCGUCUUAGCCUAUGCUAGUAAUGUUGACCCUUCUGUGAUGCUACUUAGCAUCCACGCUACUAAGAUUGAUGCCGCUUUGACGCUACUUAGCCUCGGCUUUGUAUGAGUGUCAAAGCUUUGGACUUAGUGUCGGGAUCACAUACAUUAAAAUAGCAUCAACCACUACAAGAAUUCCCUUUAUUAGUGACCAACUUAAAAUUGAAUUACUGAGGGAUCUAGACCCUCAGUAAUUACUGGCAGUCUAAACCCUCAGUAAUGUAAUAGAAAACCCUCAAUAACAUUACUGACGGAAUAAACCCUCAAUAAUUCAGUUGAUUACAUUACUGACGGAUAAAUCCGUCGGUACUACAAUCGACAAAUCUACCUUAGAUUAGUGGCAGAUUUCUCCGUCAAUAAUGAUGCUGCACAUGGGAUUGGACUACUGGCGGAUGUUAAUCUGCUAGUAAUGUUCAACCAGUUUAAAAAAAUCUGCCACUACCCCUUUAUUUCCGCCAAUACCCCAAUUAAUUUAACUUAUAAUUAAAAAAAAAUUACAAAAUUAUAAGAAAAUGAAAACAAGCAGAAACUAAAACCACAAUCAUUUACGCAUCUGGGCUUCUUUCAUCUCAUUUCGGAAGAAAGGGUUUUUCUCCAUCUCAAUCGUGUUCACUUGAUCUUGUUUGAUGUUCAAUCGUUCCUCUCUCUUUUGCUCAAUCGUUCUCGUUUUCCCAUCAUCUAGGUUAGCUCAUUUGUUCCUCUUUCUAUUACUCGAGGAAGAAGAUGAAGAGCUCGUGUUGAAGAAGUACUAAGGGCAGAAGAAUGACAGUUUAGAGCUUUGGUGAACCCACACACUUCAUCAAAAUCUUGAGGAUAUAUACUAAUUGAUGUGAGUUUCUCAUAUUAGGUUCUAAUCAUAGCAAAAGGAUAUUUACAUGCAAUAGAAUGAUAAUUGAAACCCUAAUUGAUUUAACCUUUUUGUUGUUGUGUUGUUAAUGUGUUGAUUUAGUUAGCAAUAACCUUAUUGGAGUAGUUGGAAGCAUCAAAUUCAAAUGGAAGUGAGUUUGGAGCUAAAUGUCAAGUGAUUGUGGAAUUGGGGAAAACUUGAAAAGCAUCAAAGUUCAUUGAAUUCUUAUGAGUUCGAAAACGAUUGAGGUAUUAUAGAGUAGAAAUUAUGAUUCAUAAUCGUUUAAAGAGAGUAGAAAUUUAACUAUAAAUUUAAUUAGUAAAUUAUGAGUGGUGUUGGAAUCCUAGAGAAUGCUAGUCUUGUUGAGGUUGGGGUUUUGGAUUCUUAGGGGCGGUUUAAUCUCUAUUGUUUCUGCAGUGUUAGUUUAAUUGUCUGUGGUGCUGUUAUGCUAUAAUUCCUACUAUUGUGGUUUGUUUUCUUUAGCAUGGCAGGUGGUUUUUUAGGUGCAUGCUUGGGAUGCCUUUAUGUCCCUUGAAAUCUCGAGUUCUUUCCACUUUCUGUUGGGUUGUUUGUUCACUUUCUUGAAUAUAGUUAGCGGUUCAAAAAACAAAAAUCAGUAAAGUCUGAAUAGUUGUGUAUCAUAUGCCUCUAAAUAAAGCCUUAAUUUCCCUUGUUGUGUUUGACUGUUAAGCCACGGAUUUAUUCACUGAUAUAAUUGAUAUAGUAGUCCUAUUUUUUGAGGUAGUUGUGUUCUAGUGCACAAGUUUAUGGCUUCAUAAUUUUGGCCUAUAUGUUCUAGUGCACAAGUUUAUGGCUUCAUGAUUUUGGCCUAUAUUUAUCAUGCAUGUACUAGCUGUAGGAUACACAUAGCAUAUAUGAGCUUAAGUCCUAAUUCCAUUACUUAUGUUUUAAGAAUUAUAUGAUGCUAGUUUCAUCUCUACUACUGUGUGCAUCAGAUUGUUGAACUUUAUGGUGUGUGGGAUUAAAGUUAUGAUUUUAAUAUGAUUAUAUACUAUGGUUGACUUAGUGGCGGAUAAAAAGAGAAUGUGUGCCUUAGUGGCGGAGUAAAUAAACUAUGUUUGCCUUAGUGGCGGAUUAAAUAAAUUAUGUUUGCUUUAGUGGCGGUUAAAAAUUGCGUGUGCCUUAGUGGCGGGUUAAAUAAUUAUGUGUGCCUUAGUGGCGGGUUAAAUAAUUAUGUUUGGAAAGAAAAAAAAAAGGGGGCAGUAUUUUUCUUAUAAGAAAUAUAUGAAAUGUUUUGACCAAAAAUACAGGAUGUUACAAAAAGCAUCAAAGUUCAUUGAAUUCUUAUGCGUUCGUAAACGAUUGAGGUUGGCUCUCUCUCUCCUAGGCUUGAAUUUAAUUAGUUUGGCUUGAAAUAUUUAUGUGAGAUCAAUGUGUAUUGUGAUUAGUAUGAGAAAAUUAGGUUUUAAUGAAAAUUCUCAUGUCAAAUUAGCUUAAUUCAAAAACUAGCUUAUUUGUGUAGCAGCAAGUUUUCAUUACAUAGAAAUGAUGAUUAUGAAUUUGUGCCCGCCCAUUAUAUAGGAGUUAGUAUUAUAAGUAGUCAUGCUAACCUUUUUACACACACAAAUAGUAUGAGAACAUAACUGAUGGCCUUCAUAAUCUCUAUGUACAUUUGGGUUGUUGGUCAAAUUAAGCGACCUCGAAGAAACUAAGACAUGGUUUUUGGUUAAUUUGAAAUGCUAUGAUUUGGGUAAUUUGGAAGGGGAGGAAUGAUAAUAUUUUCAAUAAUGGAGUGAUGAGGUAGAUGAAUUGGUGCAUAAUAUUUUGGUGCUUUCGUGGUAUUUGAGCAUGAGUUGGUUAGCAAUUGCCUCAUGUUUGUUCUAUGUGUGGUGUUAGAAUCCUCGGGAUUGUUUAGCUAGGUAGGAGGGAGGGUGGCUGGCUGACUAUUGGCACUUACGAUAGUUUUUUUCGGGUGCUGUUAUGAUGUAACUGCUGCCCUGUUCACAGCUGCAGAUGCCUUUACUGCUUUUGGGUGGUUUUUUUGUCUUUGCUAGCUGUCUGUUGUUCUUGUUAUUCAGGUGGUUUAGCUUUCUAUGUAUAGCUUAAAAGACUGCUUGUGGGUUAAUGAAAGUAAAGACAACCUCAUCAUAACCAAGUACAUGUUCUCAUGCAAAAAUUUAUUUGUUUUUUAUCGUCUAUAAUUGUUUUUCUCUUCAACAUAAUUAAGAAACUUAUUGUUAUAACGUAUAGACUCUGUAGAGUGAUUGCGAAUUACAUGAUUCUGAAACCAGUUGUAACAAGCACCUUGUUGAUGUACCAUUCUCCUCCAUUGGCAAGUUCCACUAAUAGUAGUUGAAGGCACCUAUUUGGUUUAUCAUAAUCUAUAAGUGAUAGUAUUGUUGGUAUUUUCUUGGUCCAAUGUAAAAAGACUGUUCGUUUGUAGUCAUAGAUGGUCUUCUGAAAACCGGUGCAAUAAAAAACACUAUAUUACGCAAAUACAACCAUUGACAACAUGCUGCUGCAUAUGAUGUGCCUGUGUACACAAAAUAGUUUGAUACUUGUGAAAGCUAAUAAUGAUUUGGUACAUUUCACCUCUUAUUCUAAAUCCUAUUGAUUGAAUCAUGAAACUUAUUUUAGUUUAAAAAAUGAAGAUGGAUGACACAUUCAAAGGCAUAACAUCUACCAGACAUGCUCACGCUUGUUGCUUAUAAUGGUAAGAUUUACCCUCUGCAGCAACUAUGGUUUACUAAUGUAAGAUUUACCUUGUGCAACAACCAUGGUUACAUGAAUAGUUGGUUCCUAGAUGAUUGUUUUAAGAUGUAAUUGUGUUAGCUGUGGGGAGUUUCUACUGGAUCUCCUGGCUAUGUUCUUAGCUUUCUGUUUGGUCUUGGACGUUACGCGUAUGGGCGGCGCUUUUGUAUUGUUCUCAAUGCUAGCUUUUGCACGUCUUGUGCAGGCUUGGUAUCUAAUAAAUUUGUUGAUUUACACAAAAAUAGUUUAUUUUGUUAGUUUUUUGGAUUGUAUGAAUAUUAUUGAAAUAUUUAUAAUUUUGUACGAAAACUCUAAAUUAUAUGAAAUUAUGAUGAUAUGUCGUUUAAUUAAUUUGUGCCUUUUUAAAUUUUAUUUCCUCAAUUUAUUUAUGUUAUUUAAUUUAUUUCUUUAAUUAAAAUAAAAAGUGGGAACAGAAAGAAAAAAAAAAAGUGUAAAGUACAUUACUGGCGGAAAUUUCCAUCAAUAAAGCAAAUCUGCAUAAUCAUUACUGGCGGAAUUUUCCCUCAGUAAUGUAAAGGUGGUUUUGACAAACCAUUACUGGCGGAUUAUUCCCUCAGUAAUUACUGGUGGAUUGUUUCCGCCAGUAAUUACUGAGGGAAUAAUCCCUCAGUAAUACUUUGUCAAAACCAUCUCAACAUUACUGAGGGAAAUUUCCGCCAGUAACAUUACUAACGCCAGUAUUACUGAGGGACACCAAUCCGUCAGUAAUGUGUAUUACUGAGGGAUUUUCUCCAUUACUGGGGGUUUAAUUCCGCCAGUAAAACACAAAAUUCUUGUAGUGAACUUGAGGCAAAUGCUUAGCUUCAAGUGUUUAUUCUCAACCAUGAGACUGGCGCUUGGCUGAUGCUACAUCUAAGCAUCCAGUUUUUGCGUGUAGUGUGGUUUAUAUCUGAUGCUAAAUAACAUUUUUCUUGUGGAAAUUGUUUGCACACAUGAAAUACAAUCGUUUAAAUAUAAUAAAUUAAAUUUACUAAAUCACAUAACUGUUUUACGAUAGUAAUGAAAUAUCGUCCAUAUUUAUGAAAGGUAUGAGAGCAGAAUUAGGAACACAAAUUGUUAGCUUAAGAUUAUAGAGAGAAUGGACGAUAGUGAGAGUGCGUGGACUUCAAUGGUUGAUGGGAGUCGAACAUGGGUUGAAUAGAAAAUAUGUGCGUGCGUGUGAUAUAGGUUUAUGCUAUCAAAUUGCUAAUCCUACCUAAAUAAGGAUUAAAUAACAAAGAGUCACACAAUAGGUUAAAUUUAUCAUUUUGUUGUUGCACCAAACAAUACAUUUAAAUACCAUAGGAUAAGUUUAUCAUAUCUUAUCCCCUAUCAUGUGCACCAUAUGUGUACGCCUAUGAUUUUUCAACACCUCGGUUUCUUUCUAUCUUUUUUAAUUAAGGAAAUGCCAACUGUUGUAAAUUCGAUGAAAAAAUCACAUCAAUAAAAUAUUUGAUGUGUGGAGCAAAAUAAUCAAGCAACCAAUAUCAACGUGGGAACAAUUAUAAACACAAGUAAAAGUAGAAAACAACGAGAGAAAGAAAGAACACACGAAAUUUGUUUACCCAGUUUGGUCUAAUACUUACCUAGUAUUGGGAGAGAGCAGCCCUCCGUUCCACUAUAAUGAUGAGUAAUUUUACAAAAAAGAUAUCAAAGGGUUACAAAAAUAAGUCUUCAAACCUAAUUCUACCCAAAGUCUCAAUCUCUUCCCAUGACCAAGAGACUUAAUCUUAAUAGUGUUUCCCAAGGUGAAUCAACUCAACCCUAAUGUCUCCCGCUUGGAGAAACCUCUUUAAACCCUAGUUUGUUGUAAUUUGUUUCUAAACCCUUGUUUUCAGACUCUCUACCUCUCUCUCAAAGUUUACAUCUGAUACAAUGUCUAUAAUUAUAAUAAAAGUAUCCUUCAAAAAACUGGAACAAAUCUAAGCCCAAAAAUAUGUUUAUGUUUUAUUUUCUGCUGGCAAAAUCAUGCCUCGAUUUUGCUCUUCGGUCACCAAUUUUUCACGUAAAGAAAAGGCUGAAAAACACAGCCAAAUUCGGACCCCUGACUCCAUAAUUUGGGCCCCGAUUUUGGUAGUUUCCAGAAACUCCAAUUUUAAAAAGGUCAUUUCCAGAAACUUCUUAUCAAAUGUCAUAAGGACACUUGUUAGCAUUUCCCUUAAUAUUUACUACAUCCAUUUCUUUUUAAUUGUCACUUUUUGACAUUUUACACAAACCAACACAAUCAAUAAUUGUUACUACUUUUGAUGCAAUAAGUUAUACUUUUACUGUAAUGACCUUAUUCAUUUAACAUCUCAUUUAAUGUUGCAUUGAAAUAAAUAACUUUAAGUGACAGUUAAAUAGGAACAAAAAAUUUCUCCAAAAGAGACACUUAAAAAGGAACGGAGAAGGUACUUACAAAAGCAGGGCCGUCCCUAUGUAACUGGAGGCCCGACUCUCAUGUAAAAAUAGGCCCCUAAUAAAAUAAAAACCUAAUUUUUUUUAAUGAGCAAUUAUCGAUUUAAAUUAAAAAUAAGAUUCGUAAAGAUAAAAAAAAAAAAAAAAAGUUAUUAUUGUUAGUGCUUUAUUAUUUUAUACGAUAAAUAUGGGUCAAAAAAAUAAUUAAAGAAGAAAAAUGGAAAAGAAAAAUAAAAUAAAGAAGAACAUGGGUCUUGGUUAAUUAAAGAAGAAGAAAAGAAAAAAAAAAAAAAAAAACAUGCACAAAGUAAGGGUUGAACCCUAGACAUGCACAAUGCCACCUCAUGCAACUACCGUUAGUCUAUUUCAGUGCAUUUGUAUUUUUUGUCACGCAAAUCGUAUAUAUUAAAUAUUUAAAUGCAUUAUUUAUAAUAAAAAAUAAAUAAAAAUUGAGCCCCCAAAUUUUGGAGGCCCGGCUCAGUAGAGCUGUUUGCACCCCCUCAAGGCCGGCCCUGUACAAAAGUAAUGUCUCUCUAUAUCCUAGAGGGAGUGGCUACAAUGGGGAAGCUAUGUGUAAUUUAUUUUUUAUUUGCAUAGCUUAGUAUAUUUUAUGAAUAGUUACCGCAAUAAUAUAUAUUUAGCUACUAAAUGAAUUUAUUUUUCAAAAACUAAUAAAAAAAAUAAGAAAGUAAAAAGAAAUCAACUUAUUUGAUAGAUGUAUUUUGUCUUAUUUUCACACGUUCGAUCGCUUAGACAACUUUGUUGAGAUUUGGCUUCAAAUUUGUGAUCUGAAAGAACAGAGAAAUCGUGACACGAAUUUGGCAUCGUGACACGAUUUUGUGAUACCGUGAGCUAGUUAGCAGGGUGCCAAAUCGUGACACGAUUUUCAAACUUGCUGGUUAAGUUUUCAGGAUAAGGACUGGUCGUACCUUGUGACGUACGCAUCAAUCGUGACACGAUUUGGAAAUCGUGGCACGAUUUUAUCAGUUGAAGACUAGUAUUUAAGUGUUCUUGUGCAGAUUUUGAAGUGAGCUUGAAGAGAGAGAAACUUGGAUUACAAAGGAGGGAACUUUAGGGUUGAGUGUUUUUGUAUUGAGGAUCUCUUGGGUUGGGAAACAUUGUAAACACCUUGGGUAGUGAAAUUUCACCAUGGGAAGGAUCAAAAGCUUCCUUUUGUGUCUUCUCUUUUAGGGUUCACAUUGUGAGAGUGGGAAACACAAAUGGGUAGAAAUUAGGACUUGUUCUUGUGUAAGCUUGCAAGCUAUUUUUCUUGUAACCCUUUGUAACACUUUCAUCAUAGUGGAUUGGAGAGCUGCUCUCUCCCCAGAUUAGGUCAUAUUGGACCGAACUGGGUCAACAAUCUUUUGGUGUGUUUGUUCUUCCUUUCUUGCUUAUCUUUAUUGCUUUGUAUAUGCUUGUGGAGUUGCUCUACACUAGACUAGGUCUGUUUUUUGUUGUUGUUGCUUGGAGACACUUUACACAUAGAUUACCACUUCCUUUUGCACCACACAUCUUUGUUUACAUUGGUGUGAGUUUUGUCCGAAUUCACAACAAACUUCAGACAGAGCUUCUGCCAAAAAAAACACUACAAACGGAGCUUUAUUAACAUAAAAAAUUGUCAAAACAACAAUUAAAAUAUGUGCUAUUUUAUUUAUUUUUGACCCUCUCGUAAAAAAAAUAAUGGAUAGUUUUGCCACUUAGUAUACUUUGUUUGGAUGAAAAGAGAAAGUAAAAGUAAUUUUGAAAGAUUGUUAAACGACUGAAAACAGAUAGAAAGUAAGAUAUUUUUUUAAUUGUUUGAUUUGGGAGAAAGUAAGAUGAAAGAAAGGUUUUAUUGACUAAAAUGAUGAAUGAAGACGAAAUUUGAUAAUUUGUUGGCGUAGAGGAGGUCAUGAUAGGGUCAAUGUCAAAGAGUGGUUCAGAGGAAAGAUGGAAGUUGGAUUUAGGGGGGAUGGGGUGGCACAAAAAAUUGUUGAAAUAUUCAAAUAUGAGAUGUUUAAUAUUGAAAUAUAACUUAAUUCCAUUGACUUGUUAACUUUUUAGUCUAUUUAAAUAUAUGUCAGAUUACUUAGUUAAGGAUGUUAAUAUGAAUUUGUCUUUUAAGUAUGCUAACAUACUAUAUGAGAUUUUCUAAAACGUCGUACUCUAACUUAAAAUUAAAUCUAUGACAAGUAGUGAAUUUGACCUUAGCUUUAAAAAAUUUGAUAAGUCUGACUUGCGUCUUGCAAAGUCUAACUCAAUCGACUCAAACUAUUACAAUUCCUAGAGGCAUUUAGGUUGAACCAUCAAAUUAGUGGUUCAUGAUUCAUAAAACAUGUUCAAUAUUAAAUAAAAGUAUAGCGGAUGCAAACAAAUCAUUGAACAUGAUAUAAUCAACAACAUGUUUGAUUUAUCAAGGAUAACAAUAAUUAGGUAUUAGGAAUAUCUGAAUGAAGUUUUGAUGGCGGCCCUUUCAACAACAACGAUAUGAAUCAGAGAAGAGAAAUCGUGAUCUAAAAUACACUUCGGCCAUGAUAAGUAAAAGACAAGAAAAAAACAAUUAAAGGAAAACUCUAAAUUAAACGAAUGAGAAAAAAAUAUGACCUCGAUUUUCCACAAAUCCAUGACAAUGACGCCAAAAACUUAAUAUCCCUACAAGUGCAUGGUUUUAUCGUCGUAAAAAAAUAUCAGUCAUACUGAGACUUGUGUUCCUCAAAGUUAAUUUUUUUCUCAAAAGUAUGCAAUUAAAAGAUAUUUUUGAAUUUUUAUAAGAUGAGUGAUUUAGAAAUACUUGAAAAAAUGUUGUAAAUAUGCAAUGAUAAAAAUGCAUUGGAACCACUGGAGUUCAUCAUUACAGUUAAAUUUCUAAAUUAUAUUCCUUUCUUUUGUCUUGGGAAUGCAAGUAUAAAUACUCUCUCUGUUUUAUGAUCAGUGUCAUUUUAGCCAAAUAAAAUUAUUUUAAAAUGAAUGUCACUUUACAUUUCUAAUACAACUUUAAUUUUUUUCUUCCAACUUUACCCUCAAUAAAUACUCCAACUUUUCUCUCGCAUAAUUUUCAAUGCAACUUUAAAUUUGUCUUUUUCUUCAGCAGUUUAGUAAAAGUGUUAUCUCUAAUGAUUAUUUCAUUUUAUUUUUUAAUUUGUAUGCAAUUAACUAAAACGACACUCAUUUUAAAACGGAUGGAUUAUGAUAUGUUCUCUUUCGUAUCAAUUAAUCUAUUUCUAGUAAAAAGAAUAAGCGGCUCAUCAAAAUGGAAUCCUAUUCUCAUGUAUGACAUGUUAAGACGGAAUAUCCAUUACAUACCAAAAAAUUUUAGGAUAUUCUCAUGAUUCAACCCUUUUAUCUAAUCUUAAAUUCUCAUCAACCUUCUUUCACUCUCUCUUACCUGACUAAAUUUUGAUAAGCAAAAUUAAGAUUAUGAAAAUAAAAGAAUUAAUAAGAUUAUGAAAAUCUUAUUAAAAAUGGUUUAAACACGAUCAUCUAAGUUCUGCCAAACAAAACAAAAAAACCACAAAGUUUAAUUCAUUGGACUAUUAUGGUCAUAGAUCCAUUACGGCUGGUUGUAGCAACUAAUCAUUCAAUGCUUGAUAUUUGACUUCCUUGCUUACUUGGUGAUGAUGAUUUUGGGUGUUUAAUCCAUGAAAUUUGAUGGUUUGCUGGAUGAUUGCCCAUUAUUUGGCCAUUGAAAUGAGUCUUGAUUGCUUCAUAACUUGUCUUGGUCAACAAUUCUUCAUUGAUUGAAGUUUUUUUUUAUUUUUUUGGUGAUCUGAGUUUGAAUCGCGGACCUUGUAUAUAUUAUGCGUUUGUCCCAACCAAUUGGGCAAAACUCACGAGGAGGACCAUUGAUUGAAGUCUUUAAUUACCACCUUUUUGUAUAUAUCUCUUAAAUUUACUUAUUUAUUCAAAACAAAGAAAAUGUAGUAAAAUACAAAUAAAAAUUAAAUAAAAAUACUAUUUUAUUUAAUAAAAUAUUAUUUAUUUUUUGAAGAAAUUUAAUAAAAUAUUAUUGAAAAUACAUUAAAGUAUUGAGUUAUAUAUCUUAUAUAUCUCCAUCAACGGGGAGGAACUAUGCACUACCCACAUAAUUAGCUUAGCAAGGCUACGUUAUGUAGGCAACCUCAUUUUGGCCGCUACGAUUAGUAUUUGGCUAUAAACACUAAACACUUACUUCCUUCAUUGUUAAUUAUAAGUAAAUUUAACUUUUUAAGUUCAUUCAAUUAAUAAUGUAAAUUAUCAAUAUUAUAAUUGAUAAUGGAUGGAGUAAGUUGUAAAUAUUUAUUAACACACUCAACCAAUCAAACAAGAUUUUUACGUAAUUUAUCCUUUUGUCAUUUUGCUUUACCUUUUAUUUUCAUGCAUUUCUUAGUUCAAUAAAAAAAAAAACUCAAACCAUGCUUAACACUCUUUGGAGUUGUUAAGAUUGAAUCUAUAGUAGAACGGCAAGAUUCAUUCGUUAAUGUAAUCUUGUUAAAAAAACAAAAUCAUAGUUGAGAGUUAUUUGCAAAUAGCUCAACUACUUUUCAAGUUCGACAACAAUAAUAUUUUUUUUUAUAAAAAAAGUGUCACUUUCAAGUAUUAAUGUGUUACUAGUGUUGAUUAUAUUUUAUAAUUUUACAACCUCUGCUCCUUAUUAUAAGAAAAUUUUCAUAGAAUUUGUUCGGCUAUUUAUAAAAAAAUGUCAUAACUUUUAAUGUGUAUUUAUUGUUUAAACGGAAUUUCUGGCUCUUAUUUAAUGUUUGAGUUUUAAUAUUAAUGAGUGUAUUUAUAAAAAUAUUCAAAAAAGUUCAAUGAUUAACACGAGUAAACAAGAUUUGCAGCUCUCACAAUAGAAUACUCAUUUUCCUUCGUUCAUUCUUUUAUUUGAUGAAAUGCAUAUGAAUCUUGGAAAUGGGAUCUAUCAUUUUAGAACUAUUCCAUAUAAAUUGGUGGGAUUCACAUGUAUUUCACCAAAUAAAAAGGAGUGGGUAUUGUUAUGACGACUUCUUUCAAACAUUCAUACUUUUAUGAAUGAAUGUCCAGUUCAAUCCCUUGCUAGUUGUUAGUCAUCGACAAAAAAUGAUCCUUCUUAGUCCCUUACAAAAACAAACCGGGCCAAAAUAGUCUAUAAUCCAAUACCAAUCAUUAAACUAUACUGCAAGUGGAAGAAUAUAAGCCUAAUCUAGACUCCAAGUUUUUUGUGAGUUGGAUUUUGGAGGGGAAGGGAAGGGAAUGAAAGACUUAUGGAGUGGUAACCCUUGUUUGCGAGUUUUAAAAAAACAAAUGUUUUGGGGGGUUUUGAAGGGUUUCAUUUGUCCAAUUUUAAAGUUCCCCCAAAUUAGAGGGUUUUGGGGGGUUAAACAUACAAAUUGACAAUUUUGCCCUCUUACUAAUUUAAAAUUCCAUUUUUAGACAUUACUAAAAUUAUUACAAUCUUUUUUAAAAACAACUUAUUCAAAACAACUUAUUUAUACAAAACAGCUUAUUACGACCUCAUUUUCAAAAACCGCUUAUUCAAAACAACUUAUUUAUACAAAACAGCUUAUUACGACAUCAUUUUCAAAAACGGCUUAUUCAAAACAGCUUAUUUAUGCAAAACAGCUUAUUACGACCUCAUUUUCAAAAACGGCUUAUUCAAAACAGCUUAUUUUUACAAAACAGCUUAUUACGAUCUCAUUUUCAAAAACAGCUUAUUCAAAACAGCUUAUUUAUGCAAAACAGCUUAAUACGAUCUCUUUUCCAAAAACAGCUUAUUCAAAACAGCUUAUUUAUACAAAACAACUUAUUACGACCUCAUUUUCAAAAAUCGCUUAUUCAAAACAACUUAUUUAUACAAAACAACUUAUUACGACCUAAUUUUAAACAACUGCUUAUUAAAAAAGAGAUCGUAUUAAGCUAUUUUGCAUAAAUAAGCUGUUUUGUAUAAAUAAGUUGUUUUGAAUAAGCGGUUUUUGAAAAUGAUGUCGUAUUAAGCUAUUUUGUAUAAAUAAGCUGUUUUGAAUAAGCUGUUUUUGAAAAAGAGAUUUUAUUAAGCUGUUUUGCAUAAUAAGUUGUUUUGAAUAAGCUAUUUUUGAAAAUGAGGUCGCAUUAAGCUGUUUUGCAUAAAUAAGCUGUUUUUGAAAAUGAGGUCGUAAUAAGCUGUUUUGUAUAAAUAAGUUGUUUUGAAUAAGCGGUUUUUGNNNNNNNNNNNNNNNNNNNNNNNNNNNNNNNNNNNNNNNNNNNNNNNNNNNNNNNNNNNNNNNNNNNNNNNNNNNNNNNNNNNNNNNNNNNNNNNNNNNNNNNNNNNNNNNNNNNNNNNNNNNNNNNNNNNNNNNNNNNNNNNNNNNNNNNNNNNNNNNNNNNNNNNNNNNNNNNNNNNNNNNNNNNNNNNNNNNNNNNNNNNNNNNNNNNNNNNNNNNNNNNNNNNNNNNNNNNNNNNNNNNNNNNNNNNNNNNNNNNNNNNNNNNNNNNNNNNNNNNNNNNNNNNNNNNNNNNNNNNNNNNNNNNNNNNNNNNNNNNNNNNNNNNNNNNNNNNNNNNNNNNNNNNNNNNNNNNNNNNNNNNNNNNNNNNNNNNNNNNNNNNNNNNNNNNNNNNNNNNNNNNNNNNNNNNNNNNNNNNNNNNNNNNNNNNNNNNNNNNNNNNNUUUUUUUUUUUUUUUUAUAAAUAAGUUGUUUUGAAUAAGUUGUUUUUUAAAAAUAGAUCUUAAUAAUUUGUUUUUCAUGCGAUAAGUUGUUUUAAAUAAAUUAAAAGUUAAAUUACGAAGUAUAACAAUGUAUUGUUUUUAAGAGGAAAAAAGGUAAAAUAGUAAAAUUAUAACAUAAGUCCUCCAUCUCCUUUCCUUAUUGGCUUUUUAACUUCCAAACAAGGGGAAGGUUUUCCCUCCUUUCUCCCUUCCCUCCCUUUCCUUCCCUUCCCCUCCUUAACCUUUCCUUUCCUUCCUCUCAAAACUCGCAAACAAAGCCUUAGCAAAAUGCAAGUGAAUCCUACCAUUUUGGAAAUGGACCAACGAUAAAUUGGUGGGAAUCAACUUGAAUUUCACUAAAUAAAAAAGGUAAUGUUUGAAUGAGAGUUAUAAGAGAUAUUGUUGUUUGCACUAUUCAUAGUAAAUAAAUCAAACUUUUUUGGUAUCUUGCUAACUAGUGUUAUCAAGGCAAUGGUUAAGGAAUCCACAAUUAAAAAUUUUGCUUUGAAAAUAUAAGAUGUUAUUUUUGAUAAAGUAAUAAUUACACGAUUUUUUCAUGAAAAUUUACUUAUUUUAUAUGUUUAACCAUUGCCUUUGAAACAUUGGUUAGCGUUCUCCAAUUUUUUUAUUAAAUAAAUAUACCAAACUUGAUAAGAGUAAUCUAGAAAAAAUAGUAUCAGGAUUGUAAAGGAAAUGGUAUUAUCUUCUUUUAUCUAUAUGUUUUUUAAUAUAUGUGAAAUAAUGAAAUAUAUUUAUCAUUCUCGAUUUUUAUGAACUUUUGGUUUUUUUUUUUUAUGUAUUUAAGUGUUUUAUUUUCUUUUAAUUAAGUGAUUGUGCUUAAAUGAUUAAUGAGUUUUAUAAAAAAAUAAAUUGUUCGAAAUAAUCCGAGAUCAAUCCUUAGAUAAAAUAAUUUUUGUCAGAUUUUACUUAUAUCUUGGCCAAACUUCUGUUUUUAUAAAAAUCAAAUGAACACAAAAAUAAAUGUGGUUUAUAUGAAUCUUAAUAAAUUGAACACUCAUUAACAUUUUCCAUGAUGUAUUUAAACUCCACUUUAUCUAACUUACAUACACUAUCAAUUUUUGGUUGUUAACUUUGGAGUGCUUAUCAUCCAUGUGGCUUUUGACAUUUUUAUUGAUCGGGUUGAAACACGUCUUUAAUAUACACACUCAAUAUAUCGCUGAAUAAUCUAAUGUGAGACAUGUUAUUUGAGCAUUAUCUGAUGUUUAAACACUACUGCUGUGUUUAUUUAUUUGUGUUUACUGUCAAUUAGAUAGGUCUGAACACAAUAAUACAAAACCAUAAUUGUUGAAAUAAAUUUUCUCUGGAAGAAAAAUACGUGCUUCCGACUUCGUAUUAACUAUCUGUCUCCAUAUUUAUUUUCUAGGUUAAAUUUACAGAUCUUAAGAUUAAUGCACGGGUGAUUCCGAUGCUGCAAUGCAACCCAAAAGCUUCGUGCUAUCAAUACGUAUCUUACUCCAACUAACACUAACAGAUUAACAGUAGUGUAACUUUUUUUGAAAGAAACAAACACUGUAAAAUUUAGUUAUUGCAAUUCGUACGAAAACAACUAAUCAUUAUCAGAUUAUUUAGUUUUUGAAACAAACACUGGAAAAUGUUUUUUUGACCCCAAUCAGCAUCACCUGCUUCCUUGUUGUAAGUUUUAAUAUUUCUUUCCUUUUUAAUUUUCAUUUUAUUAUUAGAUGAAUUGAGUUCUAUAUAAAAUGGUGAGACUCGGACAGAUUUCAACCCAAAAAAUGUGAAUAUUUGAGAGAGCUUUGUCAACACUAUCAUAUUUAGGUCUUGCUAACCGGAACUCAUGAGUUAGUGAUUAAAGAAUCCAUAAAUAAAAGUUUUUGGACAAUUUUUUCUAAAGGGAUAAAAUUCAAAUGUACAUUAUAAAUGGGGAAGUGGCUCAACAAGACGAAGAAGAGAAAGUUCGAAAAUACAUCGAGCUUUGGUACGAAUUGUGAAAUGACUUUUUUCUUUUUCUUUUUCUUUGAGAGGAAUUGUGAAAUGACUUCAUCACUCUAAUUUUAUUUUAUUUAUAUAAAACGUGCACUCCAUUUAUAUAGUUAGGAUAUGAACCUGAUUGAACUUGCAAAGGGCAAACACUGGUGUAAGCAAAACAUGUUAUGGAGAUCUGACGUAGAUUGAAACCGAAAAUUUUUAAACAAGAAUUUAAGGUUGCAAUUUCUUUAAAGUAGAUUUAUUUCCACUUUUUAUAUUACAAAAUCUACUAUUUUACUUUUUUCUUCUUUUAAUUAGAUUUAUUUAAAUGAGUACUCAAAACCUAUGACAAUAAAACAAAUUUCUUUUGUCUUGCUUGCCAUACAAAUUAACCAAGAUCAAAUUAAUCACUUAAAAAACCAACCAUCUCCUCCGUAUUAUAGCUAUUUUCAUGUUGAAAAGUAUGAUAUUCCGCUUCAAUCAAAUGCACAUAGUAUUGAUAACUAAACUACAUGAGAUUUUUUUUUACUAAAGAUGGCAAAUGUUCAUAUUUAUUUAGACCUUUUUGGAGUCACACUUAAAAUAAAAUAUGCUCUUUAAAUGAUAACCAGUUUUAAAAUGUGAAAAUUCAUUAUCUACAUAACAAAUUAGACUAAUUAUUAGGUGGAACUUGGCUAUAUGUUUUAUGCAAAGUAAAUAUGUCAGAUGUCUUGUGGAUGAAAAGAGAUAAUAUUUGGUGCUACACUACAUGUCAAUCUUGUCUUGUAAGAAAAGUUAAGUCGGUUUGUGUAAAUACAUAUAUUAUACAAUACUCAUGUGCAUCACUGUAUUUUCGCUUGAAAGGUUGAUUACAUUCAUAUACUUUACCAAACAGUAGUAAAUGAAUAUGAAAAAACCAUAUGUGUGAAAACUUAAUAUUGUGAGUGGAGGGUAUGGUGCCCCACAAAAUUAAAUUCAACACGUCUAAUAGGUAUAUAUGCAUAAUGCUCUUUCCAAAACUUCUUUAAAAAUCAUUGACAGGUCUUCUUUAUUAAUGAUCAAAAUUCUGUUGCACUAAUAUUGUCCAUGUAUAUUGGACUUCUUCUGGUGGGGUGGUUUCAUGACCUUUCAGAUAAUCCCAAACUAUAUAUAUAAAUAUAUAUAAAAGUGAUUUUUCACAUGCUUUCAACUUUCUUUUUGUUUCGUUAGUUUUGUGAUUUCGUCGUCUAGUACAACUUUGUUUAUUUUUAUUUUCCGUCUUUGUGCAUUAUGUUUUUAAUUUUCCGUCUUAGUACGACAUUUAUUUGAUUCAGGUUAAAUGAUUAGUUUUGGUAAAGUGCAGAUUCAAUCAAUGAUUUUUGUGCCGUCAACGUUGCAGAACCGAAAACAUGAGUAUUUUGGUGGCUUGAAUAUAAUCAUAUUUGUACGCAUAUGUACUUUGCCGUUUUAUGCUAUUAACAUUGAUAUUGUGAUUUUAUUAGCAUAUGAUCAUCCUUUCUGUUUUGAACGAUUUUGAAUUUGUAUUGAGUCGAUGUAUAACUUUAUCAAUUUGAAUGAGUGAAUAUCGUUUAUUUUUGUCAAAAAAAUAAUAAUAUAAUAAAGGUAGUUAGAAAAGGCUCAAUAUCAAACAAUUAUCUGGUGUGUAAAAUAAUAUGAAUGAUAGUCCGUAGAGAAUUGCCGUAAGUCCGAGCAAAAAUGACAUUCCAACAUGGACACGAACAUAAUAAAAGAAUUUUAAUAGAAAGUGAAAAAUAUUUGGCUCAAAUUCUCACCAAUUAUGUUAUAGAGAAAAGAGAUGGUGAAUGGGUCAAAAAAGAGAGAUAGUGAUUAUGAUGAGUAUCUUUCGUAGUAAGCUGCAGUAGUUAUCGUACUCUUGAACUUCAAGGUAAACUAACCAUUGAUGUGAUGGUCGGAAUGGAUUAAAUUUUUUUUUUUUUUAAUGAAAAGGUCAUGUAAUUCAUGUAAAAUUAAAAAACAAGUAUAGUUACGAGUAGCAAUAGUAAAUAAUUUGUGAAUGUUUUGAUAGGAAUCUUAAAAUGACUGGAAAUAAAAUAACGAAGAAAUAAAUUAAUAAGCUAUCUCUCAUUCAGCGUUUAUUUAACAACAUUAGCUUGACGCCGCAACCAUUGUUAGUGUGUCUUAUAUGAAAGAAAGAACGCAUCAUCCUUCAUUUUCCUCAUAUUUGGUAGAAACUUCAUGAAUUUUUUCAUACAUAAGCCAAUGUUCCGUCAGCAGGCUUUCGGAAUUUGUGUUCUUCAUUCUUAUAGGACAAUGAGACUCUUGUUGCAAAUGAAUCUUCCUUUCAAUCUUCAAUGCCACGAAGUUUGUUGGGAAGAAAGUCUUGUCUACUUGCACCACCACGUCCACCACUACUCCUAAUGAAUGUUUAAUUGUUAUAUCUUGACCACACUGAGCUUCUUUUGGACAACUUUCCAAUAUAGUGUAAACUUCCUGGGUUACUUUUCUUUGGAGGAUAAAAUCUUUGUCAAUAAAUGUUUCGAUUACAGUGGCAUUCUCCUUAUCUCCUCAUCUGAGCUUUCUGGUUCCGACAAAUUUCUGUGAGCAUCACAACUUUGUCUUGUUCCGACAAAUUGUUGAUGGUUACUUUGAUUAAGGAUGUUGCUGCCGAAAUUAAGCUAGCAGAAGCUAAUUCAAUUUAAGGCACUUUGCAUUUCAUAUAGCAAGCUUUCUGGUUGUUAACCAAUCCUUCCCAAUCUCUUUCUCUGAGUUGGAUCAUCUUUGCCGAAUAUUUCUUUUUAAUAUCUUGUGUCUUCACUUUCAUUCGGGUCUUCCAACAAGAAGGGUAUUAUAUCUUCCCACGAAGGUGGUCUGAGUACUACCCUUCGUGUUAGAAGACCCGAAUGAAAGUGAAGACAUAAAAUAUCUAAAAGAAAUUGUGUUAUUUGAACAACCAUUUAUAUAUAACAACUUUUGAGACAAUUAAAAUUUUAGAAAGAAAAUGAGGUAUUGACACAAAAACUAAAACAAUAAAGAAAGAAAGUUAAAACAUAAUAUAAAUAUGAAAGAUAAAAUUAUCACAAAAUUUAUCAAAAAAUAGUUGUACAAAUAUCAUUUCUCAUUGUUGUGAUGAGUAAAUUGAUUUGUAGUAAAAAGUUUCAUGAAUUGUUGCUUGAAACAACAAUAAACCAAAAUAUCCAAGUAACAUUGUACUAUCUAAAAGUGAAAGAAAGUUAUUGUUAUUACUAUUAUUAAUUUUCUUGUUUUUAUUUUUGAUUAAAAAAAAUAAACAGCCGAAAAAGUAAAUAAAUAAAGUGCCUGAAUAAAAUGAAUGAAAUAGAAUAAAAAUGAAACCAAUCUUUCUGGUAUUUGAUAAAUAUGAGAAUUAGAAAUAACUAAAUAAAAGACUUAUAUUAAUUUAAUCCAACAAUUAUAUAGAGGUUCAUCUUAGAACUCUACUCAAAAGAUAUUUAAUUAGGUAAUAAAAGGCAUAAUACAAAUGAGAAAAAAGGUUCGGGAGAAACUCCUCUUUGAUGUUUCUAGCACUUGUUUUCCUCUUGAACUGUCAAGUUUUGAAUGACUAUUUGAGAAUGGAACGGGUUAUAUUUAUAGACAUAUUUUAUGCUCAGUUUGAGUUGAAAAUUUGUGCUUUUUCCCAAACCUGCAGAGGAAACAGAGCAAAAUCUUGCUUUUUUUUUUCUUUCUCGAAACAAUGGCAACUGACUGAGAGCAACAUGCUCUUUGUUCUAUGUGUUGGGCAUAUGAGGCACGCGUGGGACGCAUGGCCUCAACCUCCGGUGCUAAUUUUGCAUUUUUUUCUCCGGUUCUUCAAAUGUUUUCCUUCAUCGAUUUGGUCAUGGGAUUGAAUUUCCCCACUUAAUGUCUUCAAAGCCUUCUUACAUAUUGAUGAAUUUCAUUCCAUGUCUUUCAAAACUUCCAUUAGGAGUCAUAAACACCUAUGAAAUUGUCUAGUUCAAGUAAAAAAUGAAAUUGAAUGACGUGAUUGAAAACAUUACAAAAUGUACGUUAGACCAUGAACAACUUCUCUAAAACUCUCUUUAUUGACUCAAAUGAUUGAUGAAAUGACUGAAAAAUCUACUAAAAAUAACGUAAAAUGAUAUAUAUAUAUAUAUAUAUAUAUAUAUAUAUAUAUAUAUAUAUAUAUAUAUAUAUAUAUAUAUAUAUAUAUUGUCGGAUGUAAUUAGGUAUUUGUUUUGGAGUUUGUGUAUUGGGGGCCAAUGGAUGAGUGGUAUAUGUGUUGUAACAAUUUGCAUAUAAUGUUAUUCUCUCGUUGCCAUUAGAUAGCAAUCAUAGUUUUUCUUUUGUUUUAGAUUUUCUACGUUAUAUUUUAGUGUUUUUGUGUUGUGCUUAUAUUCGUUUAUUUUAUCUAUGUCGAUUUUUACAACAAAUUGAAUCAAUUUAUUAGACAACUCUAGUUAGUAUCAACCGAUACCGACUCAUAUUUGAAGAAAAGAGAUAACCCAAAAGAUAAGGAACCCAAAAUUAUAUUCCCUUAAGUUUUGUGCAUUCUAUUUAUUACAAAUUUAAAAAUUAAAUUUAAUACACACAUUUUAAUAAAAAAAAUACUACUAUAUUUGAUUUUUGGCAAAUGCUAACAUGUGCUCAAGAAGGAUACAGAGUUGUUAAGAUAAAGUAUAGAUAUUGAGUGAGCUUAAUAAUUUAUGGAAUUGGACUCGAUCACAUUGGCACAUCUGAGGGACAAAGUCAAGCUUUAUUCCUUGUAACGCUGGUACACAGAUAGAAAUUAACUUCUGCGCAAUAUGAAUUUCAAAACAAUGAUGAUUCAAGAAUAAAUAUUAGAAAAGAUCUUAAGAUUGAAUCUUUAUCGGCAAGUGAGCACAAAAUCAACUUAGAGAAGAAGGAACAAAUUAGAUCAAGGUCAUUUAUAAUGAAUAACACACAUAUUGAUGGCGGAACAUACAAAAAACUGGCUCAUAUACGGCUGUGUUUAGUAACACAAACAAGUUAGAUUAUAAUUUGUUGGACUAGCUUAUAAGCUUGUUUUGAUAGAAUGUGAUGUGUUUGAUAAAAAGUUUUUUCACUAGUUUAUAGCGUUUUUUAAGAAGCUAAUCCAAGUAGCUUUUGAGCUUGUAGCUUAUAACUUUUUAUACUUUCUUCCAAUUUUAACCUUUUCUUAAUUUGAUUUUAUAUUUUUAUUAUAGAAAAAACUACCCAUGUUCUUCUGUGCGCUACCCACGUUUACCAAAUUAGGGCAUGGCUUUUUAAAUUUUCUUCUUCACUUUUUUGUUUUUUUAUCUUGCUCAUAAUUUAUAUAAUAUUUAAUUUUAAAAAUUUUAAUUUAUUGAAGAAAGUUUAGUUAAAUUAAAUUCAUAAAAAAAUCAAAGUUUUUAAAUAAAAAAAGCGAUUGAAUUCAUAAAUACAUUUAUCAUUUUGGAGAUGAAAAUAAUUUGAAAUAUAUUUAAAUAUUUAAAAAUAAAUGUGUUAAGUAAUAAAAAUUAUAUAUAUGAUAUUAAAAAAAUUAAACAAGCAUGUCCUUUUAUGUCAUUUUAUAUUUAUCAGCCACUUAACAGCUAAUUUUACCAAACACUUUUAAUUUUAAUAAGCCAACUUUUCAGCUAUCAGCUAUCAGCCAUCAGCCAUCAGCUAGCUUAAUAUUUAUUAAAUAUCUAAUGUAUUUAGUUUAUAUUAUUGACCAAUACAAUAGAUAUUCAAUCCAUCUAAAAUAUAGUUUUUUAUUUAUAAAUGUAACCCAGGAAAAUAGAUAACACGGAUGUGAAUUCACCACAAUUUAUCAAGCUUAAUGGUUGUAAUUUGAAGAUAGAUAGUCCAAAAUUCAGACCAAUAAAUAAUUGGACAUAUUCCUCCUUCUUAGUUAAGGCAAAUUCUAUGGUACAAUCAAUAUAUUUGAGUGUACCGGUACACACCCACUCUUUAAAUUAAUAGUUAAAUAAGUCGUUUUUUGAAGAAAAAUAUUAUUUUUUAUCAUUUAUAAUUAUAAUAACUAAAUCUUAUUCAUAAAAAAUGUCAACAAAAUAAAAUUAUUAUUUUUUGAAUUUUUAUCACUCAUAAUCGAGAACAUUCAUUAUUUUUUAUGAUAAUAUGUAAAAAAAAUUACUAUAAUUCUUAUAAACAAUGAAAUGGUGUUUUUUCUUAUGAGAUGAUGUUCUAUAAAUAAAUUUUGACAAAUAGCUAUUAAUUACAUAAAAAAUUAUCGUUAAUUAUAAAAUUAUGAAGCAAGAGUACCGAUACACCUCACUUUAUGAGUGUACCGUAGAAGUUUCCCUGUUAAUCAUACACAUUUAAAUUACCAUUGAAUUAUUAUGGAUGUGAGACUUUUGUUUUUUCCACCUAAACCUUAUGCAAACCAAACAGACUAUAAAUCAGUACGUACCAAGCCAUUUUUAAUGGAGUGCAAAAAUAUAAAUAUCUUAAUUGAGGCAAAGCAAAUAUUAUAUUUUCUUUUUGGGUGGGAGGCAAAUAUAUAUUACUAGUCCUUUUAAUUUAAAGUAAAUAUUAUAUAUAUAUGAUCGUUAUAUUACUAUCCGUUAUGUAUUCAGAUACAUACCGGUAUGGAAAAUAAAGAUACAGAACCUCACUACAAAAGUCACGUACAGUGCAUCAUAAUUACUACUUAAAUGUACAACCAUAUGCAACACAUUUAUCCUCUAUAUAUAACGUCGCUCUCCUAGAUGUUUUCUAUCAUUGAACAAUUUAUUGGUUGUGUCUUACAUUGUCUUUUAUUUGACUAUCUUUGUGCAAUAAAUCUCCCAAAACAUUCACUUGUUGGUUUUGUUCUAUAGUCUAGAGGUUGAAAAAUGGGUAGGUCACCUUGUUGUGAGAAAGUUGGAUUGAAGAAAGGACCAUGGACUGCUGAGGAAGACCAAAAACUCAUAGCUUAUAUUGAAGAAUUUGGUCAUGGAAGCUGGCGUGCAUUGCCUGCAAAAGCUGGUUGGUAUUUAAUAUAUUUUUCUUCAAGAUAUAUAUGAUAGUAUAUGUUUUGUGUAUAACUUUUUUUUUUAAUAAGUUUAUUAACAUUUUUGAUAAAAAGGGCUUCAAAGAUGUGGAAAGAGCUGCAGACUAAGAUGGACUAACUACCUUCGACCAGACAUAAAAAGAGGAAAGUUUAGUUUGCAGGAAGAGCAAACUAUUAUUCAACUUCAUGCCCUUCUUGGAAACAGGUAAAUACACACUUUUACACUAGCUGAGCACAUAUAAAGCAAAAAAAUAACUAACACUCUCUCAUAUACUCCAGUUAGUUACCACAUGAAUGAUUGCUUACUAUACUACAGUACUCAUCCUAACUUGGAAAGUUGACCACUAUAGUAGUAUAUGUAGCUUUUAUAUAUGGAUGUAUAUGUUACAACAACCAAUAUGCAGUUCAUAGUCUCUCAAAAAGAACAAAAGUCCUAAUUUCAAUAUUUCACCAAAAAUCUAAAUUAUUUAAGUUAAGAGAAUUAAAUCAUUUCUCUCUCUCUUGAAUCUACACGUUACUUUUAACUAACAUACAACUGAUCUAAGUAGUAAGGUACUCAGACGCUUAAAUGAUUAUCUUCAUUUAAGUCUCUUUCAAUUUUUUCCAUUUGAAAAGAUAAACACAUAAAAAAGAUUGAAAAAAUAACAAUUAAUGGUGGUAAAACACACUUAAUAGUGGGAUGUACUAUCUAUUUUUUGUGUAUAUCUUUCUAAAUAACAUCUGAUAUAAACGAUACUUUGUAUCUAUAAUAACUUUUUAUAAUAAAAAAGGACAUGUUGCACUUAUGAGGCAGUCCUAAAGCAUGUCCGUUCAAGGGCUUGAGGAGCCAGCAUGUGUUGAUGUACCUGGUUCAUAAGUUUUGCAUUUGAUAUAACUCACUCAUCCUUACAUAUUCAACUUAUAAAAUGAAUAUGAUGUCAUUUUUUAUUACUUUUUGUUAGUGGACUUAAAUUUUUCCAUUAAUAAAUGAUUACAUAGUGAUGUAUAGAUGAUUUGAGUUAUGUUUUUGUUAUGAUUGAUUAUGUGCACACAGAUGGUCAGCAAUAGCAGCACAACUUCCAAGAAGAACAGACAAUGAAAUCAAGAACUACUGGAACACACACCUCAAGAAAAGACUAACAAGAAUGGGAAUAGACCCAACAACUCACAAACCAAAACAGGAUCAUUCACCUGGAAGUUCCACUUCUCAGUACACCAAAGACUCAGCUAACCUCAGUCACAUGGCUCAAUGGGAGAGUGCUCGUUUGGAAGCAGAAGCAAGACUUGUUAGAGAAACCAAUAAACUGAAAGUUCAAAGACAACUUGAGUUUGAAUCCUCCAAACCACAGCCACCUGCAAGACUUUUUCUUAACAAAAUCACUCCACUCAUUCAACCUUCACUUCCACCUUGUCUUGAUAUUCUCAAAGCAUGGCAAAGUUCAUGGUCCAAACCAACAACAAAAGAUGACUCAAACAAUAACAACAACAAAAUGCAUAGUAUGUAUGCUAUGAUGUUAUCCAAUGAUGAUCUUGAAUCUCCAACAUCCACUUUGAACUUUCCUGGAACAACCUUGCUUCCUUUACCUCUUUCUGUUCCUAUGACAAACAAUAAUAUUGAACCAUUCAAUCAAAGUUUACUUCCUUUGACCAACAGCACCAAUAAUGAUGAUGAUGAUGAUGAUGAUGAUAAUGAGAUAUGGAAACAAUUCAAUUUAACUAAGCAUAACACAGAAGGUGGUCAUGGUCAUGAUAACAAUAACACUAUGUUGAACUUUCAGCAAGAUGAUGAUAUUAUGGCGGCUGUGGAAGCAUUUAGAGCAAGCGGUGGAUUUGAUAAUAAUAUUAACACCCCUCCUAUUUCAACAAAUGUUCUUCAAGUUCUUGA